rnacentral:lncRNA from 1 species
UGCUCACAAUUAAUCCGAUUACACACGAGCUUCUCUCCCUGGCCAAGACACAACCAUAGUAUGAUGAAGAACAUGGCACUAGCCGGCAAUGGUAUGAAGAAGUUAAUCCUCGCUGUUCUCUUACUGUGUCUAGUUAUAGGGCAGAUACAAGUGGAAGCUAAGAGCUGCUGCCCAUCCACCACUGCAAGAAAUGUCUACAAUACCUGCCGUUUCACGGGUACAUCCCGUCCAACGUGUGCAAAACUGUCAGGCUGCAAAAUUAUCAGCGGGAACAAAUGCAAGCCCCCUAACGACCACCUCACCCUUGACCCGGACACUGGUAAAUAAUAAAUUUAUCUCACUUGAUUUCUUCGUGAUUUGAGUCGUUAAUGUAUUUUCCAUCUGAUGAAACGUAUUGGUUUUGCAUUGAAGAGGAAGUUAAUGUGCUUAACUUCUGCAAGUUGGGGUGUGCGUCGUCUGUGUGCAACAACAUCAACGCUGGUAAGCAACUUUUGCUCAGACAGAGAAAACAAUAAUCAUUAAUUAGCGGCAGCUAGAAUCCUAUAAUCUAAUAUAUAUAUAUAUAUAUAAUUUUAUCAGCUCUGGGAAAUGAAGAGGCGAACGAUGCCGUUGAGAGUUGCGACCAAGCCUGCUCUAGCUUCUGCAGCGUGCAUGUUGGCAGCGCCACCGUGGUUGCUUAAGCAAAUGCAUCCAACUAGAUCGUCCUUGUGCUGAAUAAUUGGAUAUCGUAUCCACUUAAAGCUGCCUUGUGUAGUACGUCUUUGUGUCUCUCUUUAUAUUCCAAUAAGGUCGGUGAUCUUGAUGCCACACACUCAGAUGUGUGUUCAUCUCCAGAUACUACUCCAUGCUACCUGCCCUUUGUGUUUUGUUCAAUAACUGGGUAUCAUAUCCCAGCCAGUAUGCCGUCUGUUUUGUGUUUGUUUCCUUCUAGUUCCAAAGGGGUCAUCAUGAUGUUACCUUCUUUCAAUAUGGUGCUUUGCAUGACUACUGUUGUAUGGUACCAUCUUGUGGCCAAUAAGUACAUCUUAUCCUAUGACCUUUGCUAUGACCCUUUGCAAAUAAGUAGAAGAUUGUUAUAAGCGUCAAUACUCCGUAUAAAUUGAUCGCUGCUGUGAGUUCCCUUUCAGCUUAUCGUAGGCAUACAUUAUUGCUAGCACGGUAAAGCCAACCAACACGAAUGAUGAAGUAAACGUAGCGGUACUUCUGUAUACCAACACCCUUACUUAAAUGUACCGGUGUCAUUCCCUACUGGCACAUAUAUUCUUAUAUGCUAGCCAGCUUGUAAAAUUAACCAAUUAAAAUAAUUAUUUCAAGAUAGAAAUAACUUAUCGGUUUCUGGAAGCAUGUGUAAUGUGAAUUCAAGGACUCGACGGAAGUUGAAUCACUUCAUCUAUAUUGCUUUCAGUAUUUUGGGUAACUAAAUUUAACAUUUGCACAUACAAAUGUUAAAGUACAAAUGUUAAAUCUAGUUACCCAAGCAGAAUAUGAAGAUAGUUUAUAGUAUAUAUAUACUAUAUAAAUCUAGUUAACAUUUAGUCUAAAUGUUAAAUCUAGUUACCUAAAAUCCUGAAAGCAAAAUGUAUAAAUAUAUAUCUUUUAAGGCAGUAUAAGCUUCGAUUCCUAUUGCUGCUCUGUUAAAUCUCAUCUUUCGUUGUGGCCCAACACUCUAGUAUGCAUGUUGCACCAAGCUUCUUUGAGCCGCUCUGCCCUCUGAUUUUGCUGCGUAGGGGAAUCUUUAUCAGGUUGGGCUACUUCCAGUUGUGCGAUGUAAAGAUUCGUAUUUUCUAGAAGGUAGACAAAAAACUCGCGUUCUCUUAAGGCAACAACCGGAAGAUUCUGCAGCGCACAGGGCAUACCAUUAUUGUAGAAACGACCUUUAGUACCGAUCUCCAACCCCCUUUAAAACUGGUUUUGCAACCGGUACCGUUAUGUCGGUCCUUUAGUACCAGAUCAAAUAAGUACCGGUUGGUAACCAGUAUCAACUUGUUUUGCGGCCAAAAAAAUAAAGAAAAAAACAGUCAGAAGGCUCGCGCACACGCGCAUCACAUGAAAUAUGCGUGUGCGGGGUCCAUGGGAUUCGAACCCAUGAAAUCAAGCUGCGCGCGACCCUUCGUUACCAUCUCACCUACAUAGCGCAUAUGCUUUCCUGAAGUAACCCGUGGAGGAGGCUUUAGUACCGGGUCAUAACACCACCCGGUACUAAAAAUGACUCUUCAGUACCGGGUCAUAACACCACCCGAUACUAGUAUCGGAUGGUGUAAUGACCCGAUACUAAAAGGCCUCUAGGGACCCUCAAAUUUGAACCCGGUACUAAUGCUAAUAUUAGUAGCGGGUCAAAGUGCAGCCAGAACUAAAGCAUGGGAUGAAAGGUCAUAUUUCUAGUAGUGUAUAGUUGUUGUGAAGGACUGACUUGGCUGUCCUCUCUCUUCUCCAUCCCCUUGGUCUUACGCCGCCGCUCGCACGCGAGCCGGUGCCCAACCAGAGGAGUGAGAGCUAGGGGCAGGUUGGGAGGUGGGGAUAGUGACUGGUGGCCAGGGUGAUGGUUGAUCCUGGUGGGGUUAGGGUUUUAGGGUUUUCGAGCUUCCUAUGGUCGGCGAACCUAGAGGAGGAGCUCAACAUCAGCUGCAACCCGCGAUGGUGGUGGUUUGGCCGGCGCCCGAGGCGAGGCAGCGCGGGAGUGCUGCCGGUGGGUUGGUGUUGGCACUCAUUAUUGACAACUAUUUUGUUCAUAAAAUAACACUCAAACUUGCUGCUGCUGCUGCUGCUGCCAUCGCCACCCUAGCCAUAAUAUAAAGGCAAAAUUUGCUAAAGGACAUGCAAAAUGAUGCUAGUUUGCUGGCGGGCAUCGUUGACCUUGUAAUAUGCUACAAGACACUCUAGUUGUGUAUCAAUUUGCUGAAAGACAUUGCUAUGACUAAAAUAAUGUUUCUGGACUGAGUUGGAGAGAGAGAUGGAGUGAAAUGUCUGUUUUGCCCAUGACCCCACUGGUCAGAUCCUUCUUCUUCCACCCUCCUUUGUUCUUUCUUCAACCAUUACCCAGCUCCAGCGUGUUGCAGAUCUACGAGGGUGGCGGCCUGGGGCGAGGGGCAUCGCUCGCCCUUGGAGGAGCGCUGCGAGCGACGGCGCGGGGGCGGCAACAGCGCGUCAGAACCUGACUGUUCGUUAGCUCCUCUCGCUGCUGGGGAAGGAGGGGGAUGGGCCAUGGACGGGGUUCCCUUGAAAACCUCAGCGUCGAGCUCGGGCGGCUACGCGCAGGCAGCACUAGGCUGCUUCACGGGGAGGGGGCGCGGCCAAUCAUUGGCACCCCACUGGUCCAAUGCUGAUGAAGAUGGUGCCAGCGUCGUGUGAGGACAUCUCAUCUCCUCGAGUUCCAUGGCCAGCACAGGUGAGCUGCCGCUACCACAAAACAGAGGUUUCGUGAGAGUCAAAAAACCUUAUGAAAAUAGCUAAAACCAUCAUGAAAAUAAUCCGUGACAUGACACUCUCACGAAAAUCCUCUCACAAAUAUGGUGCCAUGAAAAUACCAUUUUCAUGAGAGUGAACUGUCAUGAUUUUAUUUCGUGAGAGUAUUUCCUAUCAAUGACCUCCACGAAAUACUUUGUGCCACCAGGUCUUCAAGAUCAUUUUCAUGAGAGCUGAACAUCAGGAAAAGUCCGCCACAAAUGUUUUUCUUGGAGCCCCUAACUCUCAUGAAAAUCAUGCGGGCCGCCACGAAAAACAGCAUGACCAAAUGACAAAUUUCAUUUUCAUGUGUUCAUACCGCCAUGAAAAUGGUCAUUUUCAUGAGAGUUGAUGAAACAAAAAAUAGUGCCAUUUUCAUGAGAGUUCAAGCAACCAGGAAAAGACACUAAUAAACAUCCAGAUCCCAUCCAGCACACAUCCAUGCACAUAUAUAACCCACAUAUUGCUCCAGCACACAUCCAUGCAUAUACAAGAUCCAAAUGUUAAUAUAGUAGACAUCCAUGCCUGAACUAGUCUGCCACACAAGUCAUUGAUGCUACAAAUCCUACAAUCGCAGCAUGUGCAUACAAGUCACAGAAUGAGACAAUGUACCCAAAACUAAAAGGUUAGCAUCAACUGUGCUUCAACCAAAGUUGUCAUCCCAACUCUCCUCUUCAUCCAUGCCAUUCUUGUCGUGGCCGUCACUGUCAGUCCCCAUGGCAUUGCCAAUGCUGUGCAUGUCUUGGUAGGAACCUACAUGUGAUGAACUAGUAACCUGCAAAAAGAGCUCAAAGGAUCUUGUUCUCAUAUUGUAGCUGUGAAAUUCUUACAAGUAGUGUUGCAAUCAGUUCACUUUGAACCAAAAGAGCUCAAAGGAUCUUGUCCUAAAAGUUCCUCAUAAAGCUUAUGGGUUUGCUGGUGGAACUGGAAGGGCUUGAUGCAGCAGAUGCCAUUCUGCAAUAGAGAAAAAUUUAGAGAGCAGUACUAGUUAAAAUUGGAUGCAGAAGAUACACAUGAAACUAGUAUUUAUACAAGUCUAUACAAUUAAAAUCUAAGGAGACUUAUCAUCGUUUUCAUGUGUUGUGAAUUAAAAUAAUGAAGGAUACACUGUUAGGUGAAAAUUCAAGAAACAAAAUUUUGCAUAGAGAUAAAGGUCCAACAUUAUUACAAGUUAAGGUAGUUUUAAAUAUCCUUGUAAUCUUCCUUUGGUUUCCUCAACGAUUCGAAGACAAUAACCUUGCUUCUAUCAAUGAUAAUUAUAAGGAGAAUCCAGUGGAAACUGUGUAUUCGUAUUAGAACUACCUAAGGUUAAUUAGGUUAGGAAAGGAAAUUGAAAAUAGAUGGUACCCACACUUACUUAAAGUUGUCGGGCAAUAGUAUGUAAUGCUUGUAAUUCCGUUGCUCCAAGAAUUUGUAUAUGUGGUCCAAUGUAGACUUUGGUUGAUCCCGUAUCUGCUGUUGGUUAAAUAAGUGUUUCUAGCCAUUUCUAGCCAUUAGAACCGGGACUAAAGGGGGCUCUUUAGUACGGGUUGAUAUUACUAACCGGGAUUAAAGAGCCCCCAUUAGAGUUGGUUUUUGGAUGCGGAACUAACAACUCCUUUAGUCCUGAGUACGAAAACAACUGACAUAUUUGUUGCUGGAUGGAAGGUCCUUUCUCUACCGUGAAUAUUGCCAGAAAGAAUUGAAAGAGACUGCUUGCUAAAAAUAUGUCAUAGAUGUAGACCAAGCUACCAAGGAGGUAGACCAAACAUGAUACACACCAUGCGUACCUUGCUGUGCAGACUAUGCAUUGACAAGAUACCCGACCACAUGUUGGCCUCGGUCACAUCAAAAGAAUCAUGUAGGCCACCAAUAAACUACUUGAAGCGGCAUUCCGUAUCGUAUAUGCAUUGCCGGUUCAUCUGCAUUACAUUACAUAAAGCACUAUUAACUAUUUGAAUAAAAUGAACCAAUUUAAAAGUAAUGUGUUGUACUCUACUAUAGAAAGCCCUAUCACUGCCGGAUCCAAAAACAUCAUUGUUAAUGGUGGUUAAGUACCAAAUAUGACGGUCAAUAUUCUCAAGAAUAAUGGAGAAUUAGCAUUUCUUAGACACAUAUUUGGUUUUGAACAAUGUAGUUCCACAUGUCUUUGGAGAUUAUUUGGGUGUGGGUGAAAUAAUACAAAAAUAAGGAGAAAACACACUCCCAUGGCGAAGAAACACAACUCCAACCAAUGAGAGAUAGCCACAGGGGCAGCACACGGAUCCAUGGGCCCACUAACCGCAUCAAACCAUCUUACCAAGGCAGGUAGCACCCACAACCGUCAUUAGGACCCACCUGGAAGUCUACCAAGAAGAAGGUUGCGAGUGGGGCCAGGAGGGGUUCGGUUGAAUCAUCUCUAGCUAGCUCCCCUCAUCCCCAGCUGGUGGGUGGUGGUGGUUGAUGGUGUCCCUACAUCAGUUAGAGGAGAUUCCCCCAAAUAUUCCUCCUGUAAACCACCUCUAUGGACCUAUACAUAGAGGGGUGUGCUCUCCAUUCCAACACACACCACAAGUUGAAUCACUCUCUCCCUCUUUAGUUUCCAAGUUUAUGGAGUUAGGCUAGAGUAGCUCUGCUCAAGGUUCCAAGUCCACUUGGAGUUAAGCAUAUGUCUCUUGUAUCGUUAUUUCCUAAAUUGACUUUAUGCUUAGUUCUUAUAUGCAUGAGUUAGUCUAAUACCCUUGCUAUAUUGAUAUGCUCGGCUUAUAUGCUCGUAUGCUAGUCAUAUACCCUUGCUGUCGUAGUAUAGGCUUAUAUGCUCUCAUGUGUGCCUGUAGACCUUGCUAUAGUAUAUACUUGUUGUGCAUACAUACCAUGUAUAGGCUAGUCGAUCUAUACCAUGGCAUUGGUUCAAUAGCCAUGUUUUUGGUGGCUCCAACCCUAGUCACAAUAGCUCGGGACAGCUGGAGUGUUGUUAAAAAUGCAAGAGUGGUGCUUGGGUUGUUUAGCAUCGUUGGAUAUGGGUUUGCCCCACGGGUUUCUAACGGUAGGCGGCAGCUAGUGACAUCCCUGUCCGUCCUUCGUAAUCCCCCCACAUUCAGGUACGCCAUAAAUGUUCGUAAAUUAGCAGUAACUACGCCGGUACACCUGUAGGGUAUUGUCUCCCUGUAGUACCUUGGUGCAUAGAACUAAGUCCUAUACACUGUGUGUGUAUGUUUACGCUGAUAUGAUCUGUGCAGUAUAUAGGAUGUAUAUAUGAACCUAGAGCUAACUCCUAGUCCGUUCUCCAUAGCUUAGUUAUCUUGAGAUGAUUCUUCUGUAUGUGUAACACUACCCAUCUUAUCAUUAUCCUUGAUCCUGUCUUGUGUAAUAUAUCUACUCAUCCUAUGAUAUACUCAUAUGCAUAGUAAACUAUUUUGACCUACCCGCCUUCCUUUGGGAAAUAUGAUACCUUGGAAUAAUCCUAGGUGAAAUCCUACAACGGUAUAUCCAUGUAAAUGCGGAUUUAUUCAUGACCAUUAAAUAUACCAACAAUCAUCACUGUGAGUUUUGGGCGUCGUUAGUGAAGGGUUGGUAGUGAUGGGCAUCCCCUUCACCAAUGGACCUGGAACCGGCGGUGAUGGCUAUUAUAAAAAAGGGGACACCACCCAGCGUACCCCACGACCCGGCCGGCCGCACCUCCCAUCAUCCCCGCCAGCCGCCCUUCCUUUUCGCCGGCCGAGCAUGGUCCCGGCCUUUGUCCCUACCACCUCGCCUCCACCGCGACCCCCCGCCGAUGCCCUCGUGCCUGGCCCCCCUCAUCUUGCCGGCCACCCUCCCGAUGCGUCCACUGGGGCCCUCGCACCACCAACCGCCCUUGCUUAGAGAGGGAGAGAGAGGAGGGAGGUGAGGCCACGCACCUCGUCCUACACCGCCGCUGUUUCUCCUCGGCCCACCGCGCCUCACCCCACACCACAGCCGCGCCUUGCCAUCUUACCGGCUGUGACGCCUCAUCUCACCGGCCACCGUUCCUCACCCCCACUUCGGUCGUCGCCGCUCCUUGCCCUACCGCUGCUCUUUGCCGCUGCGAAUGAGCGCCGAGUGGAGGAGGAGGGAUGGGGCAGGAGGAGGGCAAGAUCCGGGAGGAAGGGAGAGAUCUCGGGAGGUGGAGAUGGAAGGAUAUGGCGGAAGGGAGAGAUCCAGAGGGAGAGAGCAGGGGAGAGAGGGGGGCGUGUGGGGAGAGAGCGCGUGUGGGGUGGGGCCGGGCUGGUGGGAUGGAAGGGAGAGGGGCUAGACGGGCGCAGUGCAUUCAACUGGAUGAAGUAAAUAUUUUGGAUUCGAGACCCCAGCUUUAUUAUCACCGCUGGUCCGUAGUACCAUCCGGUGCCUGCUCGUAAUUUAAUUUGAAUCUGCGGUGAUGUUUUAUUAUCACCAUCGGAUCAUAUAAAAAUCCGGCGGUUAAAAAUCCGCUGGUUUCGAUGAAAACCGACGGUGAUAGGAUGACUGUGAUAGUCUCUUCUCUAGUAGUGGUAUAUUAGUACCGGCUGCCGGAUGGUGUUGCCGACCAGUACUUCUCCGGGGGCGAUUCAGUACUGCUGUUAGCAAAGCUUGUUCUCUAUGAAUUUGGGGAUGGAAAGCUAGUUCUCUAGUUGUGAUUUGUUACAUAUAUAUCUAUGAUAGUCUAGAAAUUGCAUGUCCUUCGUUGACAUAGUUGAAGCUGCUUCAAGAAUUUACUUCGUGCAGUCGUGCAGCAUAUUGGAUUAUCACCUAGACAGGAUACAUAGGUGAAGCAUUGGAUGUGAUUGUGGCCGAUAAUUAUGCAGGACGCUGUUGCAAUCAACCACCAAGAAGUCUGGAGUGAUGGGGUUGCCUCAUCAAUAAUUUUUAUAUAUGGCUGCAGUAUUAUUAAGCCCACGUCAAUAAUUUUUUGUCCGCACCAUAUAUCGAUGGGGUUGCCUCAUCAAUAAUUCGCGCAACCAGACAAGCUGCAGACUCAAUAUGGUACGAAGCUAGUUGCUCAGCCCACAUGCUCUGAUAUAACAUUGACAUCUGCUGAUCUACAGUAUAUAUGACCAGAAAUAUUGUGCCCACCUCAAUAACUUUCUGAAGUAUCGUGGGGAAGAACCUACGCGUACUAUGCCUCGGAACUAACUGACAUAUCGGCCCAGGCGGUCUAGGCCGAUUGGACUGGCUCUUCCUUGUGGCUUCUCACAUCCCCUUCGUCCCCAAGUAAUUUCAGGUGUUCUGUAGUUUUCUUUUCACUUGCAUCUGAGCCUCCUAUAUCAAUAGCUUCGGGAUAAGAAUGCCUCUUGAUAACCUUCCAAAUCCUCGCUUGAUUCACAUUGAUUCCGAAAUCAUCUUGCCAUAUCUUCAGAGACUUAGGUCCUAAGGCAUCAUGGAGGAUUGCUCGCCAAGAAUGAGCACCAUUGGGCUCCUGAGGACCCUAGGCCGAUCAGCCCGGGCUCUAUAGGUCGAUUGGCCCAGGCCCUCUCUGGGCCUGUUGGCCUUCAUCUUUCUUUGAGUCGACGCUUAUUCAGGGCUUUGUCCAAUUAUAGUCCAUUAUAGUCUAAUUUCCUAAAAAACAGAAUGUCCUCCAAAAUACAAUGCAUAUGUGAAAACAACCCAAUUAUUAGGUAUGAUCAAUAGUUUAGGUAUUAAAUUAAUAUUAUUAUUUAAGAUAAACAGGGGUAAAGGGUGUCAUUAAUAACAAGCGCCAACAAGCGUCCUAGCUGUUCAAUAAAUUUUUUCUAGUACCGAUUGGUAACACUAACCGGUGCUAAUAUGUACCCUUUAUUACCGGUUAUUUUACCAGGUACUAAAGGAGACAAGAGCAUCCUAACAUAAGGUUAAUAUCAUCCAUUUCAUGAGUAAAAUACUAUGAUUCAAAAAUAAUUCAAAUCCCUUAAGACAAUACCUAUCAAAUGAGUAAAUUGUAAAUAGAGUAAUCUUGAUCAAACAAUGUCCUAAUGAAACGGAACACUUCUGGUUCGUGUAGAGCACAAUAUAGAAAACAGUAGGGUAGCUGUAUGAUUGACACGUGGUCCAUUAAUUAUUGAGCCAACACUAUGGACAUGUCUUCAUGAGUAGUGUACUAGUCAUAAUACAUGGUAUGCAGUAGGUGGAGGUAUUGACUUAGCCAUGCUAUGAGCACUUAGUUACAACAAACACUUUGCCAUUAUCGAGCAUCCCAAAUCACUACAAAAUCCAUAGUUUACCAUAUACUACAAAAUCUGAGUUAAAAUAAGAGCAUACACGGAAGAGUCCGAAUGCACGGCACAUUGAAUUACUAGACAAAAUUUAUGGGACAAGGUUUUGGGUAACCGCAUGAAAAAUAUUGGAUUUUACUGAACACUUAGUUACAAUUACCAUGCCCGUGAGCACUUAGUCACCACAAACAUUUAACCACUUUAGAUCAUCCUGAAUCCCUAUAAAUUCUAUACCUUACACCGUACCAUGAAAACGACAAGAACAGAGACAGAUGCGGUGAAAAUCUCCAGAGCAAGCCUGAAAUUAAAAUAAGAGGAGGCAGUCACUAUCGACAGGACACGGAGAUUGCUAGCCAUGACAGAGGAAGACAUGAUAUGAUAUUCACCUCUGAAAUGCAGCGUAGACUAAAUGAAGCACAAUUGCAAGUGAGUGUGGCAGAUAAUGGACCAUCGAGACCAUCGAAUGGUAUGAAGCAUGAUUAUCACCUAGACAUGAUAUCCUAGACAGGACGGUGAAUUGUAAAAAGAGUAAUCUUGAUCAAAGAAUGUCCUAAUGAAACGGAACAUUUUUGGUACGUGUAGAGCAAAAUAUAGAAAACAGUAGAGUAGUUGUACGAUUGAAACUGCAUCCAUCGACGUGGUGCAUGAAUUGUUGAGCCAACACUGUGGACAUGUCUUCAUGAACACCAUCUAGUGAGGACAGCAUGCAGAAAAAUAUAAAAACAUGUCAUAGGGAGGCAGACCAAUCUUGCGAGGUAGACGAAACGUGAUACACGAUCUGCCUACCUUGUCGUGUGGAUACCCCAAGUGAAGAUGUCAUAGAGGUGCAGACCAAGCUAGCAAGGAGGUAGAUGAAACGUGAUACACGGCCUGCCUACCUUGCCGUGGAUAUUAGUCCUGAUAUCAUUCUAUUGUUCAAGGAAUAACACUCAAUGCUGCUGCUGCUGCUGACCUGGCUCCAUAAAGUUAUAUUCCUCUAGCCGCUUGCACUAACUUUAUCUGAAGUAUUAUUCUCUCUGCACUGUAUAUAUGGUUACGGAGUUUGCUGGAGUAUCCGGGGGGAAGAACCUACAUAAUAUGUCUUGGAACUAACUGACAUUGAUUCACAGACAAGGUGCUGUUGUUGACAUGGUACAGUAAAUAAUAUAGUUUACCAUAUACCGUAUACCAUUAUAUGUUAGCUAAAAUAAGAGCAUAACAUGUCGCAGGAGUCCAAAAGCACCGGUUGAGGACCAGGUACAUUAAAUUACUAGAAAACAAAAGGGGACAAGGUUUAGGUAGCCACAUGAAAAACAUUUGAAUUUACUGUACCAUGAACACUUAGUUACCAUGCCGGGAGCACCUAGUUAACACUAACAUUUAGCCACUUUAGAUCAUCCCGAAACACCAAUGACCCUCAAUAGCGACAAAUUUUGGUUUAAAUGCCGUCACCAAUGAUCCUCAAUAGUGACGUGUUUAGGUUUAAAUCCCAUCACUAAUAACCCUUGGUAGUGACGUGUUUUGGUUUAAAUCUCAUCACCACUGAUCCUCACUAGUGACGUGUUUUUAGCAACACACGUUAUGAAUGACUUGUCAUUGGUGACAUGUUAAACGCGUUAUCUCAAUGGCAAAUCAAUGGUGACGUGUUUAAAAAAACAUGUCACUGUGAGAGUUAUUGGUGAAGGGUAAUUAAAAUGCAUCACUAAUUUUGUAGCAUUAGUUAUGAUAUAAUUUUGUAACGCAAAAAUCUACCAUAGUAAUGAGGUUUAGAGCCAUCACUAAUGUGGGUUUCUUAUCGUAGUGAUGCAAGCUCUACAAGGUGCUGUUGUUGCCAUUUUAAAGCAUCCCAAAUGACUACAAGAGUCCGGUUGAGGACUAAACAAAUUGAAUUACUAGAACCAAAUGUAUGUCCAGAACAAAGAAAGGGGUCAAGGUUUGGGUAACCGCAUUAAAAACAUUGAAUUUUACUGUACCAUGAACACUUAGUUACCAUUACCAUGCCUUGAGCACCUAGUUACCACAAACAUUAAUUUAGCCACUUUAGAGGUUCCACAAUCACUAUAAAUAAUAUACCAACACCGUACCAUGAAAACAUCAAGAAGAGAGACGGGUACAUGGACCACCAUCAAGUGAGUAGUGACAGCACGCACAAGAAUACCCGGAACCUUUUAGCUUGUCUGUAGUGAUCUGUUUUCUUCGCCACAAAUAAUGAAAGAGGCUGACCAAGCUAGCAACGAGGUAGAGCAAACGUGAUACACGUAGGUUUCAUUCAAGACAUCCAUGUAAGAUUCAUUCAAAACAUUCAUGGAAAUUUCUUGUAAGUUUUCAUGUAAAUUUCAUUCAAGACAUUUGUUAGAGGUGUUGUAUAUACACUUAACGUACAUAUAUCUAUGAUUUCAUGGUUGUUAGUGAUGGCAGAUGAGGAGCAUGCAAGGUGUUUAAUGGAGCAGAUUAUUGCUAGUGGUAGUGGCUCCAACCUGCCCGUAACGUACACCGACGAAGAGGGCAGCCAGGCGGACAUGUUCCUCAACAUGUCCGGUGAUGGCAAUGAAGAGCCCGAGCAAAACCUUGCCGUGACGGAAGGUUCCAUCGAGGUAUAUAUCAUUUCCAUUAUUUUACCCCAUCUAUAAUUUCAUAUUCAUUAUUACUAUGUGCUAAUUAAUGAAUCUUGAACCGUUAGUCCUCUAGAUCAACGAACCGAAAUAAGCCCCGAGGUCUUACAAAGAUAAUGCAGGGAAGGCUUCACAUCAUGGAAGUCACAGAAGAGGGCACAUCGGUUGCUCCCGAACAUGUGGCAAGAAAGUACGUGAGUCAAACCGGGGCAAUCGUAAGGGACAACAUGCCCAUCAGCAUCAGGGAAUGAAAGAGCAAUAGAAAUGAUCUAUACGCACCCCCGGAUACACAAAAGGAUAUGUUGUGGGCAAAUAUCAAGAAACACUUCACAUUUCCCAAAGGAUAUGUUGAAAAAUAUGUGAAAGCGUGGAUGUUGAAGAAGAUGGCCACCCAAUUCCAGACAUUCAAGAAGAUGUUGGAUGCCAACUUCAUCAAGAAGGGUCGAACUCCGGGUUUCAAUGAGUGGCCAAAGUUAAGGGACCACUGGGAGUCGUUUGUCGAAUACAAGACGAGCGAAGGUGGUGCGAGUAAGGUUCACAUCAAUGUUGCCAAUGCUAGCAAGGAGUACCAUCAUCAUCUAGGGCGACGUGGUUACAGCUCUGCAAUUCCCAGAUGGCGCAAGAUGGAACAAGACCUGAUCGAUCGGGGUAUCGUACCAGCAACUCUUGACUGGAUCGAUUGAAAAAUUGGUAUUAUGCUCAUGAAGGCAAUCUGAGCCAAGAGGAUCCGACAUUGGUCUUCAAUAAAACAAUACGUCAGAAGGUCGGAAGGCUUAUUAGGAACAUUGAAGAUGCUAAAGCUGGGAGGUUCAAGGUGGAUAGAGAGAAUGAUGAACUCACAUUGGCCCUCGGGACUGUCAUCUCUAGCACUUCCAGCUCCAGGACUAUCGUCACCACCGGGACCGUCGCUUCCUGCUCGAUCACAGUCUCCAUCUCCAGCACAUCCUGGUGGUGCGAGCGACGACGACAACAACACCCCUCCCUGCCCACCAUUGCCGGGACUAAGACCCGCAUUGAGUAAGGAACCUGCAACACCACUGAAGAAGUCGCGACCACCACCUUCAAGGCAAGUCAGCAAAAGAAGAAAGCAGAGAAGCCUAAACCCACUGAGAAGCCAGCGACUGAUAUGACCGAUGCGGAAAGAUGGAAGGCACUCAAAGAAGAAUGCAGGGAGUGGUUCAGCGAAGGCGAAGGUGAGAAAGUCGUAUGAAUCGAAUUCAAGGAUAUAUAUGAAGUGAACCAUCAGGAUGCCCUUGAUGUCUCUCUCAUCAGCGCCUAGGUUCUGUAAGUGUAUGUUUAUCUAUAAGUAAAUUUUGGCUCAUAUCAUUAUUUUUUUUGCGUGCGUCACCCUACUAACUUCGUCUUCCAUUUUAUGUAGGAUGCUAAUUCAGACGUGCCGCAUAGAAGCGUACUUCCAUGUUGGAUUCAUGGAUCCAUCCCUAGUUAACCAAAAGCCGAUACGGAAGUAGCUAGAGAAAACGUUGGAGGUGGUGUACAACCUCCUGGACAAACUAAACUACAGAAUAGGGGCAAUAUGUGAGGGUCUUGUAGGAUUCCUAGUGGACGAGGUGAUAAAUCCAUAAGGAGAAUAUCAUUCCAACGGACGAGCAUUAGACACACUGAGCAACACCUAGAUGGGAGGAUCCUAGGAAUGACCUCGACAGAUUUUGGUAUAAAUAGUAAUUGUGUAAAUACUAGUUUGAUUUGUAUAGGAAUAUACUAAGAAUUGUAUAUAUAGUAAUUGUACAAAUACUAGUUUGAUUUGUAUGAAUACUAGAUUGAUUUUAUUAUAAAAAAGUUUUAAGUCGUACGUGCAUGCGCCUACAAAGGCGCGGAUGCCUUUUAAUCCCAGUCGGAAAAACAAACUGGUACUAAAGGGGCUCGUGCCGCACCUGGCAUGACCACCCCUUUAGUCCCGGUUGAACGACCCAGGACUAAAGAUCUCCGCGUCUCAAAAAUUUUAUCUCGGAUGCUUUUUAGAGAGAUUUGAGGCCUAUCAACCAAGACUAAUAUCGAGUUUUCUACCAGUGAAACUAACUAACGUUCACAUGGUUUUGACAUUCACCUGCCAUUUGGUGUAGACAAGGGCACCCUAACAUAUGGUUAAUAUUAUUCUUGAAAGAAAAUCCUUUGAUUCAAAAUACUUCAAACCUAAUAAUACAAUACUUCUCACAUCUGAAAAAUAUGAGACGGCCCGACAGUAUUCUAAUCGACGCAAUAAUAUUUUGAGGGCAGCACUACUACAGCGACCCUCAUUCGUGCCGGUGCUGGGACUCCUAUCACGACCCUGAUACAAAUGAGGGUACAUUAUUGGUGCCAGUGCUAGAACAGCCACGAAUAACUUGCUAAACGUGCUGUUACACUCACUACAGGGACCAAGAAGGUAGAUAAAUUACACGACAUAGCCUUGGUUGCCGUGGAAGCGCCAAGAAGGGAGACAAAUUACAGGGACCACACCAUCAAGUAGAUAGUGACAAUAUGCAAAAGAAUACCCGCGCCUGUUAGCAUGUGAACUGACCACACCACGAAACGUGAUACACGGCAAGCGUACCAAGGCCUUGCUGUGCAGACUAUGCAUGGACAACACAUGGUACCUGACCGCUUUUGGCCUCAGACACAUCGAAAAACUGCAUCGUUCCACGUUGUACAUCCAUUGCUAGUUUAUCUAUAUUACAUAAUAUAUUAUUAGCUAUUUGAAUAGAAUGAACCAAUUAAAAAAUUGCGUUGUAUUUUUAGUACCGGCUGCAGGAUGGUGUUACCAACCAGUACUAAUUGGCCUGUAGGAGUGAUGGUUAUUAGACUUGGUACUGUUGUUAGCAUCAUUAACCUAAUUGUGCGCCGUAUGAAUUUGGGGAUGCAAAGCUAGCUCUCUAUGAAUGUGAGGGAUGGAAAGCUAGUUCUCUAGUAGUAAUUAUAUAUAUGACAGUCAAGAAAUCGAACACUAUGCUGCUACGAGUCACCAUCAUUUCCUUCAUUGACAAUCUGACAUAGGUGAAGCUGCUUCAAUAAUUUCCUUCGCGCAGUCGUGGAGCUUAUUGGAUUAUCACCAGGACGGGACACGGAAAUGGCCAGCAAUGAAGCUGAUUGCCGUCUGAGGAAGACUACAUACUUACCUAUGAAAUGAAGCGAUUGCAUAGACUAAUGAAGCAUUGCAUAUUUGCAUGUGAGUGUGGCAGAUAAUUCUGCAGGACAUGAUUGCAAUCCACGCACCAUCGAGAAGACUGGGGCGAUGGGGUUGCCUCAUCAAUAAUCACGUGGAUGCAUGCAUGCAUGUUCCCGCAACCGGACAAGGGUCUGAUAUAUGGCUAUAGUAUUACUGAGCCCACAUCAAUAAUUUCCACUGGUGUAUCGUGUGGGAAGAAUCAACAUACUACACCUCGAGUUCUUGGAACUAACUGACGUUCACAUGCAACCUCCACAAGGUGCUGUAUGCUUUUGACAUUCACCUGCCAGUUCGUGUAGAGAAGGACACCCUAACGUAUAGUUAAUAUUAUCCAUUUCAUGAGUAAAAUACUGUGAUUCAAAAAUACUUCAAAUCCCUUGAGACAAUACUUCUCACUUGACUAACCACUAACCAACCCCGAAACCCUAACUCAACUCCGAACCCUAACCCCUAACGGCAUAACCACUCCGUUUUGCCGGCGAGAUGGAGGAACUGGCUGGAAGGUAGAGAGGGCAGCGGUCCAGGGUUGAAAACGACGGGCGAGCGCAGUAACAUGUGGAGGAGGAAGUGCCACGUAUUCGUUCACCGCUAUUGGGCAGCGACACACGACACGCCCAAUAAGAUCUUCGCACGGUAGAAGGACGUCAUGUAUUCAAUAAUGUUAUUGGUCCCCCAUGUGCAGAAGGGCGCGCGCGUAUGGAAUAACAAGUAGGGACACUGCAACUAAUCUACUCUGCUCGUCCAGUCCCUAGCCUAUAAAUAGAUGCCAUGCUAGCUCUUGUUGUGCUCACAAUUAAUCCGAUUACACACGAGCUUCUCUCCCUGGCCAAGACACAACCAUAGUAUGAUGAAGAACAUGGCACUAGCCGGCAAUGGUAUGAAGAAGUUAAUCCUCGCUGUUCUCUUACUGUGUCUAGUUAUAGGGCAGAUACAAGUGGAAGCUAAGAGCUGCUGCCCAUCCACCACUGCAAGAAAUGUCUACAAUACCUGCCGUUUCACGGGUACAUCCCGUCCAACGUGUGCAAAACUGUCAGGCUGCAAAAUUAUCAGCGGGAACAAAUGCAAGCCCCCUAACGACCACCUCACCCUUGACCCGGACACUGGUAAAUAAUAAAUUUAUCUCACUUGAUUUCUUCGUGAUUUGAGUCGUUAAUGUAUUUUCCAUCUGAUGAAACGUAUUGGUUUUGCAUUGAAGAGGAAGUUAAUGUGCUUAACUUCUGCAAGUUGGGGUGUGCGUCGUCUGUGUGCAACAACAUCAACGCUGGUAAGCAACUUUUGCUCAGACAGAGAAAACAAUAAUCAUUAAUUAGCGGCAGCUAGAAUCCUAUAAUCUAAUAUAUAUAUAUAUAUAUAAUUUUAUCAGCUCUGGGAAAUGAAGAGGCGAACGAUGCCGUUGAGAGUUGCGACCAAGCCUGCUCUAGCUUCUGCAGCGUGCAUGUUGGCAGCGCCACCGUGGUUGCUUAAGCAAAUGCAUCCAACUAGAUCGUCCUUGUGCUGAAUAAUUGGAUAUCGUAUCCACUUAAAGCUGCCUUGUGUAGUACGUCUUUGUGUCUCUCUUUAUAUUCCAAUAAGGUCGGUGAUCUUGAUGCCACACACUCAGAUGUGUGUUCAUCUCCAGAUACUACUCCAUGCUACCUGCCCUUUGUGUUUUGUUCAAUAACUGGGUAUCAUAUCCCAGCCAGUAUGCCGUCUGUUUUGUGUUUGUUUCCUUCUAGUUCCAAAGGGGUCAUCAUGAUGUUACCUUCUUUCAAUAUGGUGCUUUGCAUGACUACUGUUGUAUGGUACCAUCUUGUGGCCAAUAAGUACAUCUUAUCCUAUGACCUUUGCUAUGACCCUUUGCAAAUAAGUAGAAGAUUGUUAUAAGCGUCAAUACUCCGUAUAAAUUGAUCGCUGCUGUGAGUUCCCUUUCAGCUUAUCGUAGGCAUACAUUAUUGCUAGCACGGUAAAGCCAACCAACACGAAUGAUGAAGUAAACGUAGCGGUACUUCUGUAUACCAACACCCUUACUUAAAUGUACCGGUGUCAUUCCCUACUGGCACAUAUAUUCUUAUAUGCUAGCCAGCUUGUAAAAUUAACCAAUUAAAAUAAUUAUUUCAAGAUAGAAAUAACUUAUCGGUUUCUGGAAGCAUGUGUAAUGUGAAUUCAAGGACUCGACGGAAGUUGAAUCACUUCAUCUAUAUUGCUUUCAGUAUUUUGGGUAACUAAAUUUAACAUUUGCACAUACAAAUGUUAAAGUACAAAUGUUAAAUCUAGUUACCCAAGCAGAAUAUGAAGAUAGUUUAUAGUAUAUAUAUACUAUAUAAAUCUAGUUAACAUUUAGUCUAAAUGUUAAAUCUAGUUACCUAAAAUCCUGAAAGCAAAAUGUAUAAAUAUAUAUCUUUUAAGGCAGUAUAAGCUUCGAUUCCUAUUGCUGCUCUGUUAAAUCUCAUCUUUCGUUGUGGCCCAACACUCUAGUAUGCAUGUUGCACCAAGCUUCUUUGAGCCGCUCUGCCCUCUGAUUUUGCUGCGUAGGGGAAUCUUUAUCAGGUUGGGCUACUUCCAGUUGUGCGAUGUAAAGAUUCGUAUUUUCUAGAAGGUAGACAAAAAACUCGCGUUCUCUUAAGGCAACAACCGGAAGAUUCUGCAGCGCACAGGGCAUACCAUUAUUGUAGAAACGACCUUUAGUACCGAUCUCCAACCCCCUUUAAAACUGGUUUUGCAACCGGUACCGUUAUGUCGGUCCUUUAGUACCAGAUCAAAUAAGUACCGGUUGGUAACCAGUAUCAACUUGUUUUGCGGCCAAAAAAAUAAAGAAAAAAACAGUCAGAAGGCUCGCACACACGCGCAUCACAUGAAAUAUGCGUGUGCGGGGUCCAUGGGAUUCGAACCCAUGAAAUCAAGCUGCACGCGACCCUUCGUUACCAUCUCACCUACAUAGCGCAUAUGCUUUCCUGAAGUAACCCGUGGAGGAGGCUUUAGUACCGGGUCAUAACACCACCCGGUACUAAAAAUGACUCUUCAGUACCGGGUCAUAACACCACCUGAUACUAGUAUCGGAUGGUGUAAUGACCCGAUACUAAAAGGCCUCUAGGGACCCUCAAAUUUGAACCCGGUACUAAUGCUAAUAUUAGUAGCGGGUCAAAGUGCAGCCAGAACUAAAGCAUGGGAUGAAAGGUCAUAUUUCUAGUAGUGUAUAGUUGUUGUGAAGGACUGACUUGGCUGUCCUCUCUCUUCUCCAUCCCCUUGGUCUUACGCCGCCGCUCGCACGCGAGCCGGUGCCCAACCAGAGGAGUGAGAGCUAGGGGCAGGUUGGGAGGUGGGGAUAGUGACUGGUGGCCAGGGUGAUGGUUGAUCCUGGUGGGGUUAGGGUUUCAGGGUUUUCGAGCUUCCUAUGGUCGGCGAACCUAGAGGAGAAGCUCAACAUCAGCUGCAACCCGCGAUGGUGGUGGUUUGGCCGGCGCCCGAGGCGAGGCAGCGCGGGAGUGCUGCCGGUGGGUUGGUGUUGGCACUCAUUAUUGACAACUAUUUUGUUCAUAAAAUAACACUCAAACUUGCUGCUGCUGCUGCUGCCAUCGCCACCCUAGCCAUAAUAUAAAGGCAAAAUUUGCUAAAGGACAUGCAAAAUGAUGCUAGUUUGCUGGCGGGCAUCGUUGACCUUGUAAUAUGCUACAAGACACUCUAGUUGUGUAUCAAUUUGCUGAAAGACAUUGCUAUGACUAAAAUAAUGUUUCUGGACUGAGUUGGAGAGAGAGAUGGAGUGAAAUGUCUGUUUUGCCCAUGACCCCACUGGUCAGAUCCUUCUUCUUCCACCCUCCUUUGUUCUUUCUUCAACCAUUACCCAGCUCCAGCGUGUUGCAGAUCUACGAGGGUGGCGGCCUGGGGCGAGGGGCAUCGCUCGCCCUUGGAGGAGCGCUGCGAGCGACGGCGCGGGGGCGGCAACAGCGCGUCAGAACCUGACUGUUCGUUAGCUCCUCUCGCUGCUGGGGAAGAAGGAGGGGGAUGGGCCAUGGACGGGGUUCCCUUGAAAACCUCAGCGUCGAGCUCGGGCGGCUACGCGCAGGCAGCACUAGGCUGCUUCACGGGGAGGGGGCGCGGCCAAUCAUUGGCACCCCACUGGUCCAAUGCUGAUGAAGAUGGUGCCAGCGUCGUGUGAGGACAUCUCAUCUCCUCGAGUUCCAUGGCCAGCACAGGUGAGCUGCCGCUACCACAAAACAGAGGUUUCGUGAGAGUCAAAAAACCUUAUGAAAAUAGCUAAAACCAUCAUGAAAAUAAUCCGUGACAUGACACUCUCACGAAAAUCCUCUCACAAAUAUGGUGCCAUGAAAAUACCAUUUUCAUGAGAGUGAACUGUCAUGAUUUUAUAAGCGUCAAUACUCGGUAUAAAUUGACUACUGCUGUGAGUUCCCUUUCAGCUUAUCGUAGGCAUACAUUAUUGCUAGCACGGUAAAGAGAACCAACACGAAUGAUGAAGUAAACGUAGCGGAACUUUUGUAUACCAACACCCUUACGUACCGGUGUCAUUCCCCACUGCCACAUAUAUUCUUAUAUGCUAACCAGCUUUGAAAAUUAAGCGAUUAAAAUAAUUAUUUCAAGAUAGAAAUAACUUAUCGGCUUCUCGAAGCUUGUGUAAUGUGAAUUCAAGGACUCGAUGGAAGUUGAAUCGCUUCAUCUAGAUUGCUUUCAGGAUUUUGGGUAACUAAAUUUAACAUUUGCACACACAAAUGUUAAUGUACAAAUGUUAAAUCUAGUUACCCAAGCAGAAUAUGAAGAUACUCUAUAGUAUAUAUGUACUAUAUAAAUCUAGUAAACAUUUAGUCUAAAUGUUAAAUCUAGUUACCUAAAAUCCUAAAAGCAAAAUGUAUAAAUAUAUAUCUUUUAAGGCAGUAUAAGCUUCAAUUCUCUGUUAAAUCUCAUCUUUCGUUGUGGCCCAACACUCUAGUAUGCAUGUUGCACCAAGCUUCUUUGAGCCGCUCUGCCCUCUGAUUUUGCUGCGUAGGGGAAUCUUUAUCAGGUUGGGCUACUUCCAGUUGUGCGAUGUAAAGCUUCGUAUCUUUUAGAAGGUAGACAAAAUACCCGCGUUCUGGAAGAUUCUGCAACGUGCACGUUGGCGCUGCCACCGUGGUUGCUUAAGCAAAUGCAUCCAACUGAAUCGUCCUUAAGCUGAAUAAUUGGAUAUGGUAUCCACUGCUUAAAGCUGCCAUGUUUAGUACGUCUUUGUUUUUCUCUCUUUAUAUUCCAAUAAGGUCGGUGAUCUUGAUGCCACACACUCAGAUGUGUGUUUAUCUCCAGAUACUACUCCAUGCUACCUACCCUUUGUGUUUUGUUCAAUAACUGGGUAUCAUAUCCUAGCCAGUGUGCCAUCUGUUUUGUGUUUGUUUCCUUCUAGUUCCAAAGGGGUCAUCAUGAUGUUACCUUCUUUUGAGGUGUCUAUGAUGACUUCGUUAAUAUCAAUAUUAACCAAUUCAAUCUGUCUUAACUAUUUGUAAGGGGUAUGAUGUAUGCAUGAUUAUAACAAUGAUUGCGCAUACAAUCGCCGCCAAAGAAACGGUCAAUACCAUUAAGACAUAUUACAGACAAUUCUCAUAAUCUAUAAUGAAUAUACAUAUUCACUACUGCAGAAGACUGUCAUUUGUAUCGGCUCAUACGUGCCAGGGCAAAGGUCACCCUUGCAUUAAGUACAUUUGCACGGUAAAGACAACCAACACGAAUAAUGAAGUAAACAUGCCGGUGCUUUUGUACACCAACACGCUUACUUAAAUGUACUGGUGUCAUUCCUCACCGGUAGCCGGCUUGAAAAUUAACCAAUUAGAACAAUUAUUUAUUGUAUCGGUGUGAUUUUUGACCUAUUGGAAUAUGAAUUUGACCGUUACUGCAUUCGUCAAGACUCAAGAGAGAAAUAACUGAUCGGCUUCUUAGAGCGUGUGCAAUGUGAAAUCAAGGACUGGAUGGAAGUUGAAGCGCUAGCACUAGUAGAGAAACGACUUUCCAUCCACCCCCUUUUGUCCCGGUUUAAAGUUGGCUCGGGAUAAAAGGUUCACCAACCGGGACUAAAACUCAGUCACUGGUGGGAGGCUCACCAACCGGAACCUUUUAUCCCGGUUGCAAAGGCUAAUGGGAAAAAAAGACUCUGAGAGGCCUUUUAUCCCGGUUUGAAACACCAACCGGGAUAAAAGACCCCCCUUUUAUCCCGGUUGGUAACACCAACCGAGAUAAAAGGGUCAAGAGCCUUUUAUCCCGGUUGGAAACACCAACCGGGAUAAAAGACCCCCUUUUAUCCCGGUUGGUGUUUCAAACCGGGAUAAAAGGGCCCCCACGAGGUGACUGGAAGGUGACUGGAAGGGGAUUAAAUCGUGGGGGACCCUUUUAUCCCGGUUGGAAACACCAACCGGGAUAAAAGGGGGUCUUUUAUCCCGGUUGGUGUUUCCAACCGGGAUAAAAGGGUCCCCCACGAGUUAAUACAAAAGGAUAGUAUCCCCUACAUAGUCAGAUGUGGUGUGUAGGUGGGAUGGUAAGGAAGCUACGCGCGAGCUCCGGAAUUUUUUUUUUUUUUUUUUGCAGCGUCGGCGCUCUCUACCCUUUUAUCCCGGUUGGUAUUACCAACCGGGAUAAAAGGGGGUCUUUUGUCCCGGUUGAGUGACCCGGGAUAAAAGACCCCCCCUUUUUUCCCCGGUUAGUUUAUCCCGGAUGCAUUUUCGGGAUAAAAGCACCCUACCAACCGGGAUUAAAGCUCACUUCUCUACCAGUGUAGCUUCAUCUUCCGCUGCAAGUUAAUUGCUUGGAUAAGAAGUUGUAGCCGCUGCAAGUUAUAAAUAGUCCCGCUGAUGCUGUGCUCCGAAGUCUAUACUAUAUAUGCGGAAACUAGAUUGCUUUCAGGAUUUUGGGUAACUAAAUUUAACAUUUGUACAUAAAAAUGUUAGUUUACGAAUGUUAAAUCUAGUUACCCAAGCAGAACAAGAAGAUAGUAUAUAGUAUAUACUAUAUAAAUCAAGUUAACAAUUAGUCUAAAUGUUAUAUCUACUUACCCAAAAUAUUGAAAGCAAAGAAAGAAUAAGUAUAUAUCUUUUGUUGGAAAAUUGGUCCACGGAGAGGCCCAUUUAGGCCUCGUUCGUUUCACCGGGAUGGGAUUCCAGUCAGGAUUACUUCCAAGUUCGGUUUGAGUGAUUCCACCCGUGUCACUCAAUCCGGCUAGGAUUCAUUCUAUGGGUGAGGAGGUAUGGUUUCAAUCCAGGCCAUCUAAUGUAGAAGGAUUCCAAUCCAGGCCGGUUUUCGUUCCAGGCCAGACUAAAACGAACAACACUUUCAAUGCAAGUCUGGUUUCAAACCGGGCCAUUUCAAACCACCCGGAAUGGACCUCGUUCCAGGCCAAUCCGGUGAAAACAAAUGAGGCCUUAAUGGAAUCCCAAAGCAAGAGUUCAGUGGCAUUCUAUAGUCCCAUGCUGCUAGUUUGAGUUGGUCGAAGCCAACUUAAAUAGGAGAGCUCUCUCACUUCUCUAAAUACGUAACUGAAGGAGAGAAGGGGGCUUGGGUUACACAACGCACGCACGCACGCAUAUUUGCGUUCUUUUCGCGUAACCAACCGCGUGACUUGAAACUUGCGACGUAGCGUGCUGCUAAGUCAAGUUGAUAUAACCUUUUUGCCGUUUGCAUGUAAUCUUUUGACAACGGUCAUUGGAGGUGAUAAGCACGCAGUCAAUACCUUAAUCUUGAGUUAAUAGGGUGGUUACUACUGCCAAUUAGUGGGGCAAUUUUGUAGGGGAAACGGUUAGCAGAGGGCUACCGUCUUCUCUAUAAGAAGUUCUGGAGACGUCCAGGAACACACAUGUACAUGUGAGAGACCCACAAAUUCCUUCCCUUCUCCCUUUUCCAUGUGGUGAAGUGUGCUGUGGUACUGAGCUGCUUGAUCUCGCCGCUCUUCUCCUUGGCAUGCACCGAGGAGGAGGGUGAGCGGUAUCUCCGAGCUAUUGCCGUCAGGAAGCCUGCACGAGGGACAACAAAAAGUUUUUGGGUAGCGCAACUGCCAGCACAACUCUCCCUCCGCCUCUUCUUCACGGUUGAUGGCCACCACAAGCAUAAACCUCGCCUUCGCAUCCACGCAAAAGGGUCGCUGGGGUGCCUUCUUGCAUCGCUUCUCAGCCUCCUUGACUUGCGGCCAGCCAAGAACUGCGCCACCACCUCGGGUGCACGCCACCACUCCAGGGCUGCUACCCCAUGCCUGCGGCCGCCGCCGGCCACCACGCGUGUGCAACCGCGUCGCACCGCUUCCUUGCUUUGUGCCACCACUGCUGCUGUACCACCAGCUCCACCACCUUGGGCUGGUCGCCAGAGUGACUGAUAACUUAUUAUCUGUAACUACUAUUAACUCAGGGAUACAUGCGUCUUUUGCUUCUCCUACUAAUAUGUCCUAAAAUAUCUAGGAUGCCUUAUAUUUCUGGACAGAGGAAGUAUUUGAAUAAAAUGAACCAAUUUAAAAAAAUGUGUUGUACACUACUACAGAAAGACCUAUCAGUGUCAAACCCAAAAAUGUUGUCACCGCCAGUUUUGGGCAUCAUUGGUGAAAGGUUGGCGGUGAUGGGCUUUCCCUUCAACAACGGCACUGGAGCCGACGGUGAUUGACAUUAGAAAACAAAAAAGGGGACCCUACCUAGCCACCCCUGCAACCCGGCCGGCCGUGCCUCCCCUCAUCCCCACCACCUCGCCUCCCCAUGACCCCCCGCCGGCGCCCUUGCGCCUAGCCCCCUCAACUGCCCAGCCGGCCACCCUCAUCACGAGAGAGAGGUGCAUGUUGUAUAAUUGCGUGAAUUUUUUAAUGUUUAAUUUCAUGUAAGUUCCGUGUAAUAAAUUGUACAAGUUUUAUUGUAUAUAUGAAUUCCAUAUAUAUAUAUAUAUAUUUAUAAUUUAAUGUAUGGUUUCAUGUGUAUAUUUCAAUCAUGUGUAUAUUUAGUAGAUUGCCGAUUUUCUUUUUCUACUAGACAAGGGUUGAUGUAUAAUUACGUGUAUAUGUUUAUUGUACGGGCAAUUAGGACAAGUUUUGUAUAAAUUUCUUUUAUUUGAUGGUUGUUGUAUGGUUUCAUGUAUAUACAUUUAUUGUACUACUUUAGACAAUUUUUAAUUUAAUGUUUCUAUGAUUAGAUGUGUGUAUAACUAAUUGUAUUAUUAGUUAAGAUGGGAGCUAAAGAGGAUGAAAGGUAUAUAAUGGAGCAGAUUAUUGCUAGCUCAAACGUUGCAAGAACCUACACCGAGGGUGAGGGUAGCUAGGUGGACAUGUACCUCAACAUGUCCAGUGAUGGCAAUGACGAUGAGGAGCACGAGCAUGACAUCUAUGAUAAUGCGGAACAAGACAUUGCAGAAUUGGAAGGUUCUAAUGAGGUGUGCUUCAUGUUGACAAUCUAGUUGGCUUUUUUUCGUUGGUCACACCUUAGUUACCAUAGAACUUCGUCUCGGGAGAAGAUUGGUGGUGGUAUGGUGAUUGGAAUUUUAUUUCCACGAAAUCUGAUUUCCAUCGAAUCAUAUCCCUUGUAUUUAUCUUCUUUUUAUUUGUGAGAGCAUCUUCUUUAUGCUUGCAAAACAAUUCAAGUGCACAUACUACCCCUAGGGUGACGAUUGGGAGUAGAAAUAAUUGCCAACAAAACAACACCACAUCCUAAGAUUCUUAACUUGUGGCAUAAUUAGUCUAGUAAAAAGAAAGAUAAAAACCUAAUGGGUGUAUGUGAGUGCAAUGUGUAUAUGCAUAUGAGUGGAAGGCAUAUAAGCAAAGACAAUAUUUACACAUAGUUCUAAACACCAUGUUUACAGCUAGGUUGCUGAAUUUCUCCAUAGCCAUAGAGAUUAAUUAACCAAGGUCAAAACACGAUGUCUAUCCCAAGAUCAGUAAUUAUUUAUAGCACAAGAAAAAGAAAGCGCAUUGCAAAGUUUAUAAACCAACCAAUACAGCAUGAAAACAAGAUGAAUAGCUAGCAAGGUUUAUUAAACUGAAUGAUGACGGUCUGUAAGCAAGUUUAAACACCAUCUUUACACAAGAUUGCAAAUGGAAAAUGCCCAUAUGAAGCACUAACAUGGAUAUGAAAUCAUUCAUCAUAAAGCGUAAAGAACAACCAAGCCAACCAUAUGCAAAGCAUGAAUGGAAUGCAAUGAAGGUGCAAGAGAACAUUUUUGGAUGAACACAUUAUGAUGAUGGCAAAAUGCAAUGCAUGCAGAAAAAAUAAAUAUGAACAUGAAUAUGAUGAUCAGGGGCGGACCCACUAUUGUGGCCUGGGUAUUCCUCGGCAUACCCAAUAUUUUUGGGAAAAUGUUUAGUAGUUUUUAAUGGCAUAUACAUGUAUAAUAUAGUUUAGGUGUUAAAAUUGAUAUUCACAGCUAUUUUGGGCUCCAAUUCGCGUCCAAACCAACCUGGCCCACAGACCGCACCCGGCCGCCCGGCCCAUCGGCCCAUCUUGUCACUGAUCCUCCCACCACCACACUCAGCCCGUCAGUUAGUCAGGUCCCGAGCUCCUGCCUGACCUAGUCCGCUACCACCGCCAGGCGCCAGGCACAGCUGUACACGCCGCCCCCGUCCACCCACGUCCGCCGCACGGCCGCGUCGCGCCCCCCCCCGGCGCCCGCUGCUGCCAGAACCCAUUAGGCCUCCACCGGCAAGUCCACCCACAGUCCCGCGCGACGCGGCAGCCUCUUGGCUCUCGGCGCUCGCGGCGCGCCAAUGCCUGCGCAGCCCCAGCAGGCGACUGCCCCCCCCCCCCCCGCAUCGGGCCUCGGCCCCUCCCCAGCUCCCCCUCCCCCCUCCACCAGGACUGCCUGCUGGCCCCCACCGCGAGGUAAUCGAAAUGGACUGCUCAAUCUCUCAAUCUGUUGACAUGAUGCACACGGUUGCAAAAAUAGAUGUGUCAAAAUAGAUGUAUUGCCAAUUGCUAUAGAUGCAUAUGGUUGACAUGAAGAAGUCAAAAAUGACAUUUGGUUCCUUGUAGGCAGUCAAAAAUGAAGAAGUCAAACAAUAUUGAUCUGAAAUCAAUGCGGGAAAGGGCUACGAAGACACACGGGUAGAUUCCCUUGUGAACUUUUUAUGUCGUUCGUCUAAAUAUAUUUUUGCAAUGGGCAUACCCUACUCUGAAAUCCUGGGUCCGCCACUGAUGAUGAUGGUCUAAACAUAAAACAAGCCUAGAUUAAUUAGCUACAACUGAAAUUAAGCAAAGGUUAAUGUCAUUGACCCUAGCUCUAUCCUAGCUUUUACUAAAGUCCCGGCACAUAUAGUGGUUGGGCCCACUCUCUCUACUUCCCUCUCUGCUGCAUGCACACACACGAGCAACUGGAGGCCCAACAAAGCCCAGAAGGGUUCGGCCGAACCCGUCCGAUCCAGUCUGAGCGCCGCUCCCUCCCAGCCUUCGCGCAGAUGCUCCUCCAACGUUCCUUGACCCCUCCCUCAGUGUCCCAUUGGGUUUAACAUUGUAGGAGAGGAGUCCCUUUUUUAAAAUCUCAACCACCUCCUCUCCUCAUUCACUCCACUCUCAUCUCCAUCAAACUCACCAAGAUCCACAUCGGAAAUACCUGCUUACCACCAUGGCUGGCAAAGCCCUCGUCCCUUUCACCAACUUGGGCUUGACCAUUGAUCUCGAUGGGAAAAUCACUCCAGCAAAUGUCAUUGUCCCUGUCGGCGAUCUGGCGAUGGAGGAGGUCCAGGCACUAGAGGUCGAGCCCCUAGCCAUCAUACCGCCCAAGGGGUAAAGCAGGAGCAUGACAGGCGCUGCUAGGGGUUCAGCCGAACUCCCAGUUCAGCCAAACGAGGACGGCGUCGCCUCGGCCUCCCGCUCGACUGCAUGCUUCCCCUUGCCAAGGAGGACUCCAGAACAGCGGGCGCGUGCGUCAAGUCCCUACAAAAGGCUGAAAUACAAUGAAUAUCCAGGGUCACCCUUGAAGAUGGGUGAACGCUACGCCGGGUCCUUGUUUGACUAGUACGGCGAUGCAUUCUGCCACCGCUAUGUCGUUGUCGAGAUUAGCGGAUCAAGACUUAGACUAGUAAAUUUCUUUUAUGCGCGUAAGGCUUCAGAUGGUGGCGUGGGAGACAUGGGUUUUAUACUAGUUCGGGCAAUGGAAUACCCUACGUCCAGUGUCUGGAGCUGCUUGUGUUGCCCACGCGGGGUUCUGUAGUAGGGGUUACAGGUGUGCGAGAGAGGGAGCUAAUCCCAGGUCUCUUAGGCGUGUUCCGGUCCUCUAGAUGGGAGAAGUGUGUUCUGUUUGCUUGGGAGUAUCGGUUGUGUCUGAGUUGUCUCCGGAGCCUCCUCCCGUCUCAGGUCCCCGAUUCUCCUUUCAUAGCACAAGGAGACCAUCGGGGUUACAGACGAGACCGAGCGUGGGGAGGAGUAAAGAGAUAAACAUAGCUAGGUAAAAAUACAACAAGAAAGGGGGGAACCAAGUUUCUAGGUCACCGGCGUCCUCGCCGGCCUUCGACUUCCGCCGGCGCAUUUGUCGGAGGAGGGUGGCCGCCAUCGCGUUCUGUCGAUGGCUUCCUCGGUGACUGUAGCCACCGGGCGUGAUGAUGGCAUUUCGUCGUGACCCUUUGUCUGUUGGGGGAGGCGGCGGAUCCUGCCAUUCUGCUGACGGCUCGCGGAGUGCGAACGUCGCAUCCCUGCCGCUGGGCACGCGGGGCGCGAGAACGUGCGAGGCUUCCCCCUACCCCAGGCGGCGCAGGCCAUGAGUGCCCUGUGGCAAAUCGGAGGAGGCCGCAGCUACUGUAGCUUGUACUGUGCAGCCACGUAUGGGUACUUGUGGCAGGUUGCGUGGUGGAUGCGGAUAUCCUUCUCCCUGACAGAUCUGCGGCGCAUUUAUGGCGAGAUCGACAUGGGGACCCACAAGACCCGCGCCCAAGGCGGAUACUUGUCUGGAGGGCCCGGGUUAGCCUGACCCCCUACGCUUGGGGUCGGGCGAGGCGGAGACUUGCGGCGGGGCGUCGGACGCUCCCGACACUAGACCUGCGGUCGCGCAAGGCGGAGCUUGGUCUUCCGGGGGUCGGGGGUGCCGGACCCCAGGAUGCGGGGUCGGGCGAGGUGGAGCGUAAUUCUUGCCUCCCAUGUUGGGCCGAUGGCAGUCUUUGUUACCUCUAGUGGGCUUGGGCCUUUAUGUUUUGUUGUUUCCAUGGGCUUCGAGAGGUCGUUAAUAUUUCCCCCCAACAGUAGCCCCCGAGCCUGUGGUGGAGUGGGGGCGCUCCUCCGGAGGCUACUAUCAUCGCCCCUAGGGAAUCCUCGCAGUUGAUCCGGGAUAGGAGGUGUUGUUUGCACGGCUUGACCGAGGGGGUCGAUUAGGCGACGCAUCCUGUGAGCGACUCGGUGCGGGAGGGUUUCUUGUUGUUCCCUUCUGUCUGAGAGCCUUAAGUCGAGACCACCUGCGUGGCCUUUGGUUGCAAGGCCAGCCCCCGAGCCCCCGCACGUUGCAGGGGACCGGUCGGAGGCUAGGUCGACUUUUGUUCAUUACCCUCAAGCGUCUGUUCGCUAGGACGGAGGGGGCGAGCCGUGCCAUGCUAUCCUCAUCGGACGAACCAUGGUGCUCAUUGAGUUACUAACGGGUUGAUUCGAGUGGGAUCCCGGUCCCCGUUCGGGGGGGGUCCGGCUUGGGCCAAGCUGGUGGCGUACCCCAGGCUCCGGUCGGCCAGUUCAUAUAGUUCCUGAGUCCGUUCGGUCGGACCGGGGGCUCAUUGCCUUUCUUCGGGGAAAAACCAUGAACUUUGAUGCCGGUCCAGACUCGAAUGUGAGAUUGAGACGCCCGGGGCUGUCGCGUGCCCGGGUGAUGGCCGCUAGCGGACCCGUCUCCUCUCACCCCUCACUCGGGGGUAUCCUGAGGCGGCUGUCGAACCCGUGGCGGGCCAGCCUUCGAACCUCUGGAUCGUAAUGGGCCGUAGGGGCGUUUUCAGCCCCGUAUCCCUUUUUACCUUUUGGUGGGCCUUGGGCCGAAUCAUGGAGGAGGUCGGGCCUUGGGCCGGAUGCGGAGGAUGUCGUGCCUUGGGCCGGAUGUGGGGGACGUCGUGCGUGUCUUCCGGGAGACGAAGUGGUGGAGGGUGCCAACCCGCGAAUCGAGGGAGGAGGGGAUGUUUCUACUGCAGGUCAUGCGCACGGUUUCCGAAAAGGCAGCGGGCGUGACGGGACGUACCUCGCGCCGCAUUUAUUGCGAUGGGGGCGUCUGUUCUGCUUCCCUCGUGCCUUCCCUAUAAAACGAGGACUUCGCCUCGCCGGUUCCGCCCGCCAUCUACCUUCAAGCCUUUUCGCCUCCUCGCGCGCCCUUAGCUUUCCUGUGCCCGCUUCGUCUUCCUCCGCCCAGUGCCGCGCCCUUUCUCCCCAUCCGCCGUCGAGUUCUUCUCCCUCCGGCGAUGGGAUCCUGGGCGCGUUCCCACUUCGGCCCCUCACGCGCCGAAGGCCUAGUGAGGAAAGGCCUCCUUUGCGAGAGGACGGAGACGGAUGAGUGGGGGUUCCCUGAGAUGGAAGAGGUGCCGACUCCGCCCACCGGCUACGUCGUUUCCUUUGCCCACUUCCACGAGAGGGGGUUUGCGACUCCGCCGAGCCUCUUCUUCCGCGGGCUUUUGUAUUACUACGGGCUUGAGCUGCAGCACCUCAACCCCAACGGGAUUCAGCACGUCGCGGCGUUCGUUGCGGUGUGCGAGGGGUUCCUGGGCAUUGAGCCCAACUUCUCGCUGUGGAAGUACUUCUUCACGGUCAGCCUAUACCAGAAGGCCGAGAAGAGGGGAAGCCAGCAGCGGUCGACCCCGGUGCCGAUAGGGUGCGUCGGAAUCCACCUCUGCCAUACUCGCGCCAAGGAGUAUAUCGCGAUGAAGACCGCGGCAUCCCACAAGGGGUGGCACCAGCAAUGGUUCUACGUGAAGAACUACUCCAACCCCCCCUGCCGGAGUUCACCGGCCGCAUUAUUGAAGCGGCGCCGGAGGUGUGGGUGUACGGCCCGGUGGAGAAGGAGAAGAAGCGGAUCACCGGCCUGCUGCAGGCCAUCGAGCACCUGAAGGAGAGGGGACUGACCGGAGCCGGAGUCAUCGGGGCGUACCACGCCCGGCGGGUGGCGCCGCUGAUGCUCCGGGUCCGCUCGCUCGCCGACAUGACCCCCGGUGCUCUCACCGAUGGCACUGUCCUCGCGACGGGUGCUCUCGCUGCCUCCGAGAUCCGGCAGCGGAUCCGGGAGGCGCUGGAGGACAAGGACGCCGAUUACCCGGUGCCCGGCCACCCUCCGAUGCGCCCGGACGAGAAUUUCAUUGAUCUGGUAAGGAUUUUGCGCGCCAGUUUCCCUCUCUUGCGUUUCUUGGUAUGCCGUUCUGACGCGAGGCCCUCUGUGUUUGCAGGGUAGCAUGACCCGGGUCGUCGACUUGCGUCCGCCAGUGUCGGAGGACGCCGAGUGGCGGUAGCAGAACCGUCUCCUUGCCGAGAAGCAAAAGUGACGCAAGGACAAGAGACAGCGAAGAAGAAGAAGAGGGCCGCCAAGGAGUUCCAGCGGCGGCGGUGGGGAUAGGUCGUGUCGGAUGACGAUGACGAUGAGAAGGAGGAGGAGGAUGACGAGGAGGAGGAGGAGUUUAUCCUGUCCCCCCGGUCAGGGGCGCUUGUUAUCCGGGAGCCGCGCUCCCAAGCGGCCAUGGGGGACAAGGCGGGCGAGCUGCCUGCCCGGACCCGAUCCUGCGAAGCUUUGGGGGCGCGCCCCAGGGGUCGGCGCAGAGCGCCCCCCGGGGGUCGACGGAGCCGACCCCCAUCCCUACACCUGCAGCCCAGGAGCAGAGGAGCAGCGACAAGCGGCCGUUGCCAGAUGCCCCGGGGUCGGCGUCCAGCUCAGAGGCGAAGCGCGCGCGCCGCCCUUGCGCUGGGGGAACGUGAGUUGAAUUUCCUUGCGAAUCUCGUUCCUUUCCAUGCAUUGUGUUUGUUUCCGCUGAUGCUGUUUGUUGUCUCACAGCACCGCCCCUCAAGGCCUUGUCCCGCCGUUGGCGCCAAAGAAGGCGUUGCGGUGUUGUCGCCUCUGCGGGGCGGACCGCGGCUCCGCCGGCGGCGAGUGGCGGGGUCACUGGUGAGACCGCGGGUCCUACCGCGGAGGUGGCCCCUGCGGCGGCAACCGGUGGAGUGGUGCCACCGCCGGGCAUGGGACAGGGUCUGGACCCCGCUCCGUCCUCCGCCUCUUCGGCCGACCCCGCGGUGCAGAGUAUCGCUCCUGGGGGCCCUCAGGCCGGGGAGGUGAUUGACCUCGACGCCGACGAGGUGGAGGAGACGGCGGCGGUGGAGACGGGGGCGGUUGCCCCAGCGGCCAUGACGGGGACGACGACGGCGACGGGGGAAGGAGAGUCUACCCCCGCGGCCACGGCGGGGACAGUGGCGACAGAGGAGGCGGGGACGCCCGCCCCGGCGGCUGCGACGGAGGAGGCGGCGGUGACGGAGACGGGGGCUUCCGCCCGGGAAGCCACAGCCGAGGUGGCAGCGGCGACGGAGGUGAAAGUGCCUGUUCUGGAGGCCACGGUGGGGGUGGGGACGCCUGCCUCGUGGCCACGACGGAGGGCGAGGCGGCCCCAGGGACACUUGCUCCGGCACCCGCGUUGGAGGCGGUGGCGCCGACGGGUUGGCCCGUGGCGGCCUCGACGGGGGCGGGGGUGCGUGCGCCGGGACCGUCGGUGAGGCCGGCGACUUCCGGGAUGGUGGUGCCCGUCUUGACGGCGGCGGCGGCGCGGUCGGCCCCCGCCCUUGCCUCUACCACUCCCAUUCCCAAGGCGUGGAGCGGAUCCGUCCUGCGUUGGUCGUCUCGUGACGACCCGCAGAGGCCCCUCUUCACGUUGGAUGAUGCCACAGAAUGGGGCAAGUGGCAGGCGCUGCAGGGCGGACUCGCUAACGUCCGCGCCGCUCUAUCUUCGGCGUUGGGGGAGCUGGACGGCGUCAUCUUCCCCGGUGGCCGGGUAUGGUGCUUUCUCCGUUGGUUAUUUUCUUCCCGUUACUUCGUCCCUGAUGGCACAUUGUUCUGCAGGCCCUCCAAGAAUGUAGCCGGGGAAAAUCUGAUUUCCUUUGGCUCGAGCAGGGGCUCUGGGAGCGCUUCAACUUGGAGUUGCAGCGGACCGGGGAGCUGACCAUGCAAGUCGCCACCGUCUAGCAUGUCAUCGACGAUCUGCGAAGGCACGAGCAGGCGGCACAGGAGGACGCGCGGCGGGCGGAGGCCAAGUUCCAGGUCGUUGCCGAAAGGGCUCGCUGCGACCGCGAGGAGUUCCAGGCCGUUGCCGAAAAGGCCCGCCACGACGCUGAGGAGCUCGCACGGCUGAAGGUGCAGCAUGAAGCUCUUCAGAAGAGCGGCAGAGGGCCUGGCAGGACCGGGACGCCGAGAAGGUCCGGAAGGAGGAGGCUGAGAAGGUGGCGGCCAACCUUGGGGCUGAGGUCAGCCAGCUCCAAGUGCAAGCGCGAGAGCUUCAGGCCUCCGUGGCCCAGGGGCUCGACCAGGAGCGCCAGCUGAAGGCCUAAUCCGAGGGUAUGACUCUGUUUAUUUCUUUGUCUUUGUGAUGUUGCGGUGAUAUUUUAUUUGGCGGGUUCUUCUGGAUGAUCCUUGCAGAUGAGCUCAACUGGCUGAGGGAGGUGCUUGACGCGGAGCGCGCUGAGCACGGCGACCUGCGGGACGCGGUCCGCGUCAUCUGUGACUUCCUUAGUGUGGUCCAGGGGGAGGGGACGAGCUCGCUGGCGGCUCGUGUCCUCGGGACGUACCGCCGGACCAGCGAGAUCGCCCUGGAAGCGCUUCGCACCGGCUUGAGGCAAGCCUUUGGGGUCUUCGGCUCCCACUAUUCCGGCAUCAACUUCGCCGGGAUGAGCGGGGGAUACGCCACCGGCUACUACGAGGCCGAGCUGGAUGAGAUCGACGUGUCGGUGCUCAGCCCGGCGGAGGCCUUGGUGAAGCUCCUCGAGGAUGAGGCCGUCCCGCCCGAAGAUCCCCGGACGAGUUAACUAUAUCGGGCUGGCGCCCCAGAUGUAAAUACGUUAGGGAAAGACUUGUUUUUUGUGAGGGCCGUAGAGGCCUUUUCUAUGAAUUGUCGUAAAAAAGUUUUUGAUUCCCUUUCUUGCUUUUUGGACUUGGAAAGUUUAGAGCACGUUGUCGGGCGUGUCAGUAAGCUUUGAUGAGCGAAGGCACCGUAGCCGCUGGGGCGUCGUUUUUUUUGCAGUCCGAUCAAUCUUGCCUGAACACCGUUCGUGCACUUUCUCCUUUUUAUGCCCAAAAGUUCAGAAAGAGGGUCGGCUCGGAAAGAGAAAGCGUUUUGAGAGGGUGUCAAGUGGCUUAGGUACUUGCGGCAGGUUGCGUGGUGGACGCGGAUAUCCUUCUCCCUGACAGAUCUGCGGCGCAUUUAUGGUGAGAUCAACAUGGGGACCCACAAGACCCGCGCCCAAGGCGGAUACUUGUCUGGAGGGCCCGGGUUAGCCCGACCCCCUACGCUUGGGGUCAGGCGAGGCGGAGACUUGCGGCGGGGGGUUGGACGCUCCUGACCCUAGACCUGCGGUCGGGCGAGGCGGAGCUUGGUCUUCCAGGGGUCGGGGGCGCCUUACCCCGGGAUGCGGGGUCGGGCGAGGCGGAGCGUAAUUCUUGCCUCCCAUGUUGGGCCGACGGCAAUCUUUGUUACCUUGGGUGGGCCUGGGCCUUUAUGUUUUGUUGUUUCCAUGGGCUUCGAGAGGUCGUUAAUAUUUCCCCCCAACACUAUGAGGAGGACUUGUGGGCAGAAAGUCAGCUACCACAAACUUGCCUCUGAAUAUUUGGAGUGCAAACAUUGGAUGGUGGUUGUGGAGAGCCCCAGCCAUACCUCGCACCCGUGGAGAGGUAAUUGUCGGAUUGCUUGGUUCGUCUCUAGAAUGCGACAAGGUCAGGCGCCACCUCUCACUGCUGCCAGUCAGAAGGCCGAGGGGCCAGUUUCAACAUAGUAAUGAGAAUCUCCGAAGGCCAAUAUGGUUAAGCAGCUAACCUCCAUGAUCAUAGACUUACGUUUAGAAAAUAGGAGGCUUAGCGAUGCGUUAACAGAGCAGAAGUUAGAAACAGAAGAACUUAAGGACGACUUCCGUGUCCUCCGCCUUGGUCUUUGUGCUAAGAUAAAGCGCUUGUACAAUGCCACGGGGAAUGACGGUCUCUACGAUGCAGCUCAAUAGACGUGCCCCUUGUAUCCUUUCCUUUAGGCACUUUAGAAUAUGUUUAUUUGUUUUCCUUCAUUUUAAUUUCCAAUAGAUUGUUAGCGCCUCCAAUUUAAUUUCAAUAAAGUGUAGACUCACCGGUCAUCCAACUUGAUGGAGUCCUUUUGUCACCUAGUUGUCUUUGGAAGAAGUAGCUGGGUACAAAAUAAGUGUGGGGGAGAGCCACAGACUCUCUAGAGCUGAAACAAUGCACAACACCCACAAAUAGAGAAAACCACGCUGCACCAGCACGUACGUGAAAGUGGAGCCAGAGCUGGACCCAUAGGGGUUUGGCCAACCCAAGGGGUGGCCCACUCGGGCCAUCUUCAUCCACCGCGUCGGUUUGUGUCUCUUUACCCCUGAUCUCCCUGAUUCAUGAGUUUGAAUGAAUUUUAAAUCUGAUCAACUAAUUCAAACUCAACUAAAAUGAAUCAACUGCUCCACCUGCUCUACAUGUUUUCUAUGGUUGGCUUGCAUAUGUUUUAUUUCAUGCUUAUCAUCUUGAUGCUUGUGAACAAAUAUCUUUAGGACAGCAUGCUCAUCUAAGUAGUUGAUGUGUAUGAUAUGGUUCGAUGAUAUGAUCUUCACUCUUAAUGCUUAAGUGCUUGGGAAAAUCUAUUUGAAAAUUUAAAAGCCUUUUUGAAAUCUCCUCUUUGAUGUGCCAAAGUCCUACCAAAGCCAUAUGAUAAGUUAUCUUGAAAAACCAUUUGCAUAUGUUGCUUGUCUUUGCAUUGAGCUUUGUCAAAUUGGUGUGACCCUUGUCACAAUUCUUUUCAUACUUUCAUGAUCAAGACUCAUGUGCACGCCAUAUACCCCUUGCUAUGCUUCUAUGAGAUGUUAGCAUUGUACCAUCCAUUCAUUCCACAAAAUAAAUGCUCCACCAUAUGUGUUGGUCUCCUUCUAAGAUUAUUGUUACAAAAGAGAUAUGGGCUAUCAAAAAAAAAUAUGAAUGUCCAAGAAAGUUGGACACAUGAAUGUCCAAUAAAAAGAAAAAGAAAGAUAGCCAUGUCCUCAGAAAUAUUUACAAAGGGAGAGAGAUCAUACAAAAAGGAGUUUCCAUUCCAUCCACCACAUCCAUACAUGUGCACAUCUUGAUCUGAUUGUAUGACUUAUUUUUCUCUUUGGAUCUGGUCUUUGACUUUGCAAUAUAUGUGAUGCAAGCAUGCCUUAUCCUUCAUAGCCUACCUUGAGCUCCACAUAUAGCCAUCAUUAGAAGUAGGAUGAAGAAAGGCAAGUCUAAUGCCUUGGUGAGGACAUAUACACAUUGAGUGAUCUGAGAGAAUCAAAUGAGGAGCUAAGCAAGGUUUUGUUUUGAAAACUAAUUGAAAAAUCCCAAGCUACUUGGCAUAAGGAGUUGAGGUGACUUGAUUCAAGACCAUUACAUUCCUCAACUACCCAAGAUGGCAUGAUAGACACUCCAAAGUUCACAAGUGCAGGUAUGGUUUGGAAUAUCUUUUAGGCUCGCUUCAUACCUUUGAAAGUUAUGUUUCACCUUAGUCCUUUCUCGUUCACUCAAGGAUAAGCAAAGGCUAAGUGUGGGGGUGUUGUUGAUGGCUCUUAAGUACAAAAUCUGCGCCAUCAACUCUUGCAUAAACACAUAAAAUAUGAGCAUCAACAAUAGUGGUAGGAGUUAUUACAAACGAAUUCCACAAGUCUUGGUGAAUAUUUGUAUGCAAGCCCAAUAGGAGAGAAAAGACACCUCAAAAGCAAGGAAACACACUCUCAACCAAUCAAGAGCAAGCACAUGGAACCAUGGGCCCACAACCAAAAGGAAAUCGACUACAUUCCAAACACCCUAUACCCACAUGAGAACCCAUAGGGCAGUGACCCAGAGCAAAGGUGAUGCCAGAGUGUAGAUGGUAGUUAGCAUGCCAAAUUUUGAACCGCAAGCGCUCGGAUUAGUUGUUUCUUUUCCCUUAGAGAUUCCCCCAAGGUUUAUCAAUCCAUGGAACAAGGGAUUUGCACGUUUCACUAAGCACUAAUCAAUGUAAUUGAAAGCUUUUCGAAUAAGAUAUGAUUAUGCUAACAAAGGAACUAAGCAAUCUAGAUUAAGAUGGAUAGAGAGUACAGGUUGUGAACAAGAUAGAUUAAACGCUUGUAGAUGCAAUCACCAUGCAUGAAUGAAUUAGAUCUAGGUGUUAUUGUGAGUGGUUGUGAACCAUGCCCAACACUUUCCCACCCGCAACAUUGUCACUACAUGUGGGUACUCAACUAUCGGAACAUAAGAACACAUCAAGAUGAUCAUUCUAGGUAAGCAAAUAAGCAACCCAAAGUAGCGCUGGCCAGCCUUUUCAUGAAAGAGCAUCAUCAAGAUAAGAUUGAUAACAAAAUAGAUCUCAACCAAAGGUUCAGCGAUUACAAAUCAAGAUCUUCGUAUAACCCCGAUGACAAAUAGAGGUAUUACCCCCAUGAUCUUACACAUGUUGAUGAAUUUUAGGGUAAAGGACACCCUGUAGAUCAACUGGACCAAAGAUGAUGAUGAACGGGGGCAGGGAAGGCCCAGGUUGAUCAGCCUGCGCACUUUUGAGCCGAUCAGCUCAGGGGGUUUCCUCCUCCCCUGGUGCUCCUCUUCGCGUGGCCUCCUCUGGAUCCAAUCUUCUCUUCAUUUCUCCUACUUGUGGCGGCAAUGGAUGGUGUUUGCAUGGUGAUUUCCUCUUCUCCCCAACUCUCCCUCCUUGAAGUCCAUGAGGGGGUAUUAAUAGUCUCCAAUAGGCGGCAGCUCUGGGUCAAUGUCAGUGAAAAAAUCCUAGAGAUCAUCGUACACUUCAUGCUGAGGAAACAAGAGGUUGACCGAGCCCUGGGAUAGACCAAGAGGAUCAUCCUAGAGGGUCCCAGGCUAAUCGGUCUAGGCCCUUCCUAGCCCUUCUAGUCCUCUCCUUCCUCGUGCUGGCUUUUCUCGAUGACCCUUGUCCAAAUAUCCAUGAAGCUCUAUAUACAUACCCCCUUGAUUAUGUUGUAUUUCCUGUCAAAAUACAAUGCUCCAAAAUACAACACAUAUGCAAUAAUAGGGUUAUUUCAGGUGCCAAUUGGUGGGUUAGUAUACGAAUAAGCAUGAAAAUACUGUUUAAAUGACACUAAAAGUGUGUCAAUAACGAGCACCAACAAUCCCCCCACGCUUAGAUCUUGCUCGUCCUCGAGCAAGUCUAGCGACUAAAAGAUCUUGAAUUAAACCUGAGCAAGCGAGUCAAGUACCUAGCCUUGAAACAAAAGAUUAGAGGAGCAGCAAAGAUAAUCAAAGUCUGGGUGUUCAAAGAUUUAUCUAAGCAAAGAUUCCCCUACAACUAUUAUUCAGAACCAAGUAACUUCAAAAAUCAACUACACUUAUUUUCUGGCUUUUUUCAGAGGGUUUUUCUUUCAUCAUAAAACAAUCUCCCUGCAACAAAAUUGAAAAAAGAAUUAUUUUCAAGGUGCUUACAUGUCGCUUAAAUGAAUGUUGGCUAUCCUACUUAUUUGCAAGCUCUCAUCUCUCAAAAUUCAUUCAAUUAUAUGGUGGAGUUUGGGUAAGGUUAGCUAGAAUCAACACGUAUAUUAUUGAAUUAAGAAAACCCUCUAACGGUGGCCUACCUUCCGAGCCAUUGAUCAUAAGAAUAUCCACAUAAUGUGAAGUUUUCAAGGAUGAGAAGAUAUAGAAUGGUGGACAUGUGCAAAGGCAAAGAAAUAUAGUGACUCUGAGGCACAAGCAAUGUCCUCGUCGUUGGAUUGCAUAUGGUUGUAAUGAAAAUAUGUUCCUUAAACAAGUCUAUCUUUUCUUUGCACCACUCUUGAUCUUCAUGACAGUAAAAACUCCUCCUUUAUUUCUUUCUCUCUUUUCCUAUUAUUUCUUUUUAUUUGUCUCAAUACUUUUAUUUCUUUAUUUCUUUAUUUUAAUCUCUUCUCUGAACCUCUUCUGAACACCACAUAAUAAAAAUAAGUUUUAGAUCCUUCCAGAGACCUUCCAGGAAUUUGCUACAUGAAAACCGAGGCAAGGAGACCCCAGGCCGAUUGGCCUAGCCACUCCUUUGCUCUCCUCUAGCUCUUCUUUCUGGUGAAGCUUCCUUAUCUUGUAUCUUUCCAAAAAUUUCAUAAAGCUCGACUAGAAACGGAACAGAUCUUCAUAUAAUGAGUUGUGUUCAAGGAAUUGGUAAUAAAAUUGAGAAAUUUGUGGUUCGGGUUUACGAAUUCAGUACAAAAAUAUGAUUGUUCCAAUGAAGAACUCUCAUUACUGAAUAUUGACGAGGCAAGCAUUCAAAGAUGGUAAAAAGGAUAUGAUCAAUUCUCAAAAUUAAAGCAAACCAAGAGAGAGCGAUCCUAAUUCAAUUCAAAGUGUCAAAUGUUGCUUAUGGUGGUAUGAAUAAAUAUUUUUAGGCAUUGGGUAGGAUAAAUAAAAACUCUCAACCUGGUUAAAAGAUAUUGAUCAAUCUUGUUUUUGCAGAGGUUUUAAAUAAAAAAUAAAAUUUUAAAUCACCUCCAAUUCAAAGCCUUACUCAUAAAUCAUAAUCAAAACUGAAGCACUUGAUCAUCAUAAAGCAUGGGUAUUGCAUAAACAAAUCGAUUACUAAAACUCCACAACUACGAUUUAGAAUUCAAGACAAUGCUCAUAAUCUAAAGUUGCAAAGAUAAAAUAAAAGACAACCAAGCCAAGGUAGACACUAAAAACACUUGCACGAUCCUUGAAUUUUAUUCAUGCUUCUUCUCACAAAGACGCUAAAGUAGCCAUGUAGGCCUAAGUCUUCCCAAAAGCUUAAGAAAACUACUACUUUAUCUACUUUUGGUUGAAAUAAAAAGACUAAUCUAGACUCUCACAUGAUUCGACUCGACCAAAUUAGAUCCAAAAACUCAUACGAGCGACGAUCUCCCCCCCCUCACGCUUAAAAUCUACGACCUCCUCGUCGUAGCCAUAUGGAGUACAAGGAAAAGAAGCUUGUAAACGCUCUAAUGACGCUACCCGCACUACUUGCACACGGGAUGGUUGCUGCUUCCUUCGCUUUGUUCUUCCUCAUGUUGCUGCACAUCCCGAAGAGCUUCCUCACGUUCCUCUGCAAGAACUUGAACUCGUCCUCCUGACGGCGAUCAUUAUCUUCUGCCUUUUGAUCCAGAGCUUGUAAGGCUUGCAUGAUGUCAUCGAACGCAUCGAAGAGGUAGUGGAUGUUCUUCCUGCAAGCUGUGGAACAUGUACGAUCAUGCUCCUCCGAUUCUGGCCCGUCGUCUUCUAGAUCCUUCUCUUUGCCCUUGUCUUGACGGUGGCUAUCUUGCUCCUUGCUCGCCUUCUUGCCUUCAGCCCAAUCCCAGUACGUGUUGUCAUCUUCUUCAUCGUCACGGCCUGCAGCACCCUAUGAUCCAUUGUCUAUCUUGUAUGAAAGAAUCAGAAGCUUGUUCUCCUCAGGGUGUCUUGCGCGGUGCAGCGUUUGCAAGUGCAAGACUUGCUAGUUCCUUUUACACAUUGUAAUGUUCAUUGCAUGCUCUAAUUGUUCUACAUUUGUAAUUUCUUGGUGAAGUUUGGUUACUGAUCCACUGUUUGAUUAACUCUUGGGCCCAAACACUGUACUACUUCUGAUUAGAUAUCUGUAUCUUGACUUUGACCAAAAAAAAUAUCCGGCAGUUUUUGCCAUUAAAGUUUCAUAAAUCAUCUUGCAAAAAUCGUACUAUACAACAAGGGACGGUUUAUUAUAAAAUAUACGUUCCCCUUAUCACAUGCCACUUCCACUCAAAAGGCAACGAAUCAGUUUUCAAUCCUGAGUGAGCAAUUUGCUUUUAUUACCGAUGCCUCCUAUUCCCUUGUGCACCAAGUUUAUUUUGGAUAGGGCUGCAAAAAACGACUAACCAGCUCGGAUUCUCCACCUGCAAAACCGCAUCUGCAGCAACCAACCCCACGCGGUGGAAAAAAAAACAAAACCUAGAAACCGGACGGGGGUGGAUGUGGGGCUCGGAGCCCAAGCAAAAAACGGAUCGGGAGCGCCGGAGCAGGCCAUCACCGGAUGUUAGAGAUAGAAAAUGGUUGAAGUUUGGAGUGGAAAUCAAACAAGCCUUGGAGCAAAGGAAAAAAAAAGAUCAAACCACUCAAGCAUUCAUUUGAUUUAGAAAAGAGAACAUUUGUUAAGGUGGGGAGUUGAAAUCAUCUUUUAAUUAGUUCCACGUAUCUGGUAUCAUUACAGUUGGUUUACUUGUGUAAGUAUAAGUAGCUCUGCCGAAGCCUUUGCUCCUAUAAUUUAGUAACUAGUACAAAUGGAUCAAUAGGAAAAUCAAGUUGCAAUCAUUUCUCAGCCAACCAAACCUAUGUAAAUCAAAUUAUUGUCCAUGCCCGGCAUGCACAGGUGCCUGCCAUGCAUGCAUUGUUGCUCCAUUGUAAUAACCAUUAUUGUCCAUCGAUGUUGCAGCGCAUGUGUGCACUGUGCAGACACCAAGCAUCGAGAUUAUGUACUAGUAAGGUGUUGAAAUAAUGGGCCUAGCCCAUAAGUAAUUUCAGAAUUUCAAAUAAAUCUCAAAGGCCCAUGUGGGCAAGAGGUGGAGUGGUGCAAGUCUUUAGUCCCACAUUGCUAGUCGAGGGGAGGGAUGACCAACUUAAAUAUGGAAGUUGUCUCCACUCCUCCAAGCUAUGUGUGAAGGGCGCGGGCGCGAGGCACUUGCGUGAAUGGUCCGCCGAAAUCUGGCCCCCCUUGCGGGGGCGCGGCUUCCUUUUGCCGUUUUAUUUUUUGGUUACUUGGUCGUUAAGUCAUGGAAUCCUAACCGGUUUAGAUCACGAUCGUGAAGGUUUUUGGGAAGCGCUCUGCGCGACUGCUCGAUCGCUUCUUCCGCUUCGUCAAGUUCUUCGUCGACUCCUUCACCACGGCUCGUCUACCUCUUCGUCGCUCGGGCCUCACUCGUCGUCGCGAACAACGUCAGGCUGCUGAUCGUCGUCGCCUGCUGUAUCCGGUAGUCGUCCAGGAGCCGGUUUUCAUCAAGAAAGAAACGUACGGUCUCUUAACUCACAUUAUGUCUUCCAUACUAGCUAUUAUGAUUGUUGCAGUCUGAUAGCUCUGGAUAGUAUGGUAGAAUGUCUGAUUCUAUUUGCAAUGAUAGACUUGUCUAGAUCUUGCGUAGACAUGUCUAGUUUAAUCUGCUGCUUGUUCAUCAUAUUCAUGAUUUAUUUCUGGAUUAAGUUAAAACUAAAAGUGCUUAUAUAUCCAACAUAAGGUACCAAGAACACGUGAAGCACCCGGGGGAGGCUGCUCCACUCCGCAUGCACAGGUGGGCACGGCACCACUACUCGUCUCCUUCAGGCUGAGGAUAAGUGAUGUACGCUGAUCAACAGACCACGACGGAACCAGCAAUAAUAGUUUCAGCCUGCCUCACAGUAAUUAAUAUAUCCUGUAUCCUCCGAGGACCCCUCCCCUUAAUCUUGGCCUAUUGCAUCCAAUAAUGAUAUGUGUGUUUAUCCAAAUUUACGGCACCUUUGGCGGGGGUUCCACCCAGCUCCGCCCUCUCCACCUUCGGUACUCCAUGGGAAACCAUUCCUUUGGAAUCAAGGAAGCUUGAACAGUAUAACGAAUAAAGUUUCAUAUAUCCAUUUGAUUUCACAUGAAAUAAAAUAUUCUGUCAGAACCAAUGGUUUCACUGAAGCUCCAGGCAGCGAGCGAAGGGGUGAGAGAGGAUAACGCUUACUGUGUGUUACCAUCGCGUGCACCAUGGAUGACCAACGCGCAGCCGAGAUGAAACGGCGGACCUAAACAGGUCCUCGCUAUUUUUGCAGGUUCUCGACCAGGCCAGUUCUUUAGGCCAACCUAUCAUUCACGAGUUAAACAUACGGUGGCUGGAGAAAUGUUCUAUUCUUUUAAACAAUACCAGCUGGUUCCUCCGUUUUUAUUCCACCAAUACAAGCACCACCUUGUAACAUUUCCUAUGUUUUUUUUCCUUUCGUCUGUUUUCUCACUACAUGCGUUGCUCUUUCAUGCAUUUUUUUCCAUUCCUGUAUUCCAAAUAGGUCUACAUGAACACAAAAUGAACUAGGGGACAGAAAAAGCCAGUGAAGUUAGUUUUGAGCUUCACCAGCUACUUGCUACAUAAAGUGUGCUAUAGUCGCAGAAAAGCUAAGCUGGAUCAGACGUGGCCGAAACAAUGCCAAAGAGCUAGGUCCCUAGCUGAUGGCAACACAUCAGAUGACUAGCCUGCUUUUCUGUAAUAAUGAUAUUGAGCAAUACACUGCAUGGCUAACCUGCUUUACAAUAAUUGUCAUUUUAUAAUAUUGGUCAUCACGAGAGAUGCACAUUGCAUACACCGGCCCAUCCCUAUAAAUAGCCAAGCCUUUCAGCCAUCUUGGGCACCUCCUCUCAGGGCCUCGUCUCACCAUCAGACAUCUCGUUCCCAGUUAUAAUUUGCGAGGUUAGAUCAGGCUGCGCCAUGGCGUCCGCAACUGCUGUCAAGAUCGUCGCCACCUUCAUGCUGGUGCUGACCAUGGGCCACCUGAUGGCCGAAGCAUCACCGCAGCCUCGGCGUGUGCUUGCAGAAACGGAGCAUGCUGCGGUGUCCGGGAAUCCUGGCCUCCCAGGUGAUGCUAGCGUCAUGCAGGUCCUCGAACCCGCCCUAGUUUCUCGGCUUGCCUGCAAACCAGAGUGCACAGUCCCUUGGCCUCCUUUUGUAUGUAUCUGCUAGAUCCUCUUCCUGGCUCAACGGAACUUCAGGGAAAUGGCUGUGACGUCGGCCAAAGAAUAAAUUGGAUGAACAUAAUAUACCCCGGGUAGUGUAGCUUGGGCUUUUGUUGAGCGUCUGGUGCUAGUUGUAUUUUGUUUGCUCAUGUGGCUUUGCUUCUGGUUGCAUAUUGGCUUUCCUAUCGCUCUCUGUUGCAGCUAUGGUUUCUGCCAGGUGUGUGUUAAUGCGGUUUGUAAGCGGUGCUUGUUCCUACCUUCUGUUUUCAAUAAAAGAAGUCGGAGUCUCCCUCCGACUCUUGUUAUCAGUCAACAAAAAUGAGUUGUAUCAUAUAUAUCUGCGUCUUUUUUCUACGUAUCUUUGGGCUGCUUCAGCUGGAAGUUUAUCGUAAGUACGUGUAUCAGGAUGAUCGUUUGAAUUAAAACGAAAUGAUAAUGUGUGGCUGCUAGAAAUGGAAUGAGCAUCUUACUAUAUUACUAAUUGGAAGCCUCCACGUGAAGCCACCUAGAAAUUCUAGGUGGACGUUUUAAAAAAAACAAAACUCAUAGAAGCCUCCACCACCUAGGAAUCCUAGGUGGACACUCUAAAAAGAGACAAAUCCUAGAAAUUCUAAAAAAAGAAAAAAAUAAUAACAAUAAGAUUUUUUUGCAGUCAAUUACAUAUAUUUUUUUGAGACACCGUGCUGCUAGCUCUUGCCAUUGCGACCAGUAAAGCAAGCAGAUAGUAAGAUGACAUGCGUGUGGAUUGAUUAAAACAAAUUCAGUUAGUUGAUUCUAAAUCGUAUGUAUCCUAAAAGGAAGAUAUGUGCGUGCAUGGUCCCUAGCGAUGACAUGUAGACAUGUAUUGCAAUUUCUUUUUUAAAAAACAUGUCUAUCUCUAAACCAACAAACAGAAAAAAUAUCAAUCUAAAUCUAAAUCUCUUCCGUUCUCACACGCCUAUUAAAGAGAAGACAACCAAUCCCAUCCAUGUUCCAUAGAAUCCAUCUAAAAGCUUGCUCACUGCGGACGGCAUUUGACGGCAAAUCAAUGAAAGAUCAUCCUCUCCAAAUAGCUGGACGGCAUCACCAUCUUUAUCUCACCAACCUACAGAGCUACAACGAUGUUGUAGAGAUCAACUAGGUAACCUACCAAUCACCCUCCCCUUUUCUAUAUGCUCUAAAGAACACGUGGAGUAAUUAUAGGCCUAUAGGAGCCGACUAACCUAGAUUAAUAUGAAAAAUAUUCCAAUAUUAAAAGCAAGCAGAUAGUAAUACUUGCCUUUGACCAUUUUUCUAGAACUGUUAUUCCUAUUGAAUGUUCAAGUGCUACGGCCAGGCAUCGAAUGCCUGCACGGAACCUUCCUAUUGAAUGGUUACUCUAGAGAUCAACGCACCGCGAGACAUUUUUAUGGAAUUUGUUUGAUUCCCCUUCUACAAUUAGAUUAAUUUUUCAUGGCAUAUAUUACUACUAUUAAAUUAUUUGUUUAUUGUCGGGCCUGCUGCAUGUGUGGUAUAUAUGACUUGCUUCUCACCAUUGUUCUCAAACUAUUAUUCCUAUCGAAUCUUUCUAUCGAAAUAUAUUUUAAUUACUUGAUUGUUGUUUGUGUACCAUAACUUCUGUAUAGAAAAAUUCCAUGUUUGUAGAUAAUGUCUUUUGUAUAGAAAAAUAGCCCAAUUAGAUCCAUCACCAUCUUUUGCUUAUGUAGUUGAACAAGUUGCAAUGUUGAACAAAACUUUAAGUGAAAUUAGACCAGGAAAAGGAAUUGUGGAACAUUAAGGCAAGGGUAACCAGAUUGUGGAAUGCAACCUUACUCAGUAGUGGCGAACAAUUAAGUCUUGACAUGAUCCUUAUUGAUCAAAAGGUAUGAUAGAUGUUCACUUUGAUUGCAUUAUUGGUAUAAUUUUUGGUUUACAAAUUAUUAAUGAUGAUGCAAAAUUAGGGAACCAUGAUCCACGGUGUUAUCAAUAAGCCCUAUAUGAAAAAGUUCAAACCAUUGAUUGAAGAAGGCAAUGUGUACAUAAUUGCAAAUGUCAGAAUCACACCAGAACCACAGAAGUAUCGGCCAGUGGAAAAUGACAGGAUAGUCAACUUCUUACCCACAACUGCACUAAAAACGAUCAAAGAUACUGAAGACAUUCCAAAGUAUAGUUUUAACUUCAUGAGCACGGAUAUGCUUUCAGCAAGAAUAAAUGUGGACAUGUACCUAUUAGGUAAAACAUUACUGGCUUUUCAAUUUUUACACUUCCACUCAUUAAAUGACCAUCUAAUAAUAAUACAUAUUUAUGUUUCAUAGAUGUUAUAGGUAUCUCAGCUCACAUUGGACCGAUAGAAGAAACAAGGACAAACUUCGGAUUUACUAAAAUCCGUGAUAUUGUGCUCCUGAUCGAGUAAUUCUCUUUUCUUUUGUAGAAAACAACUACAAAACUUUCAACAUUUACAUGUAUGUUAUAGAACUUCUGUUGAACUAAAAAAUAUCUUCUACAGUGCCCCUACAAAUAAUUAAUUUCGUAGUUGGAUAUUUAAAAUAUUUAUUAUUCACUUUUAAAUUUGUGGCCAUGAAGUUAAAGUUAGAUUUUGGGGAGACAAAGUUGAGGAAGUUGAUGAUAAGACAAAAUCCCAUGUCAUUGCAAUAACAUCUACAACUGUGAGUAAAUUUGGCAGUAAGUCUUCAUUCAAUAUGAGUUAUUCAAUAUUAGUCAUUCAACAAACUAACCUCGUAAGAAAAAUAAAUAAUUGAUGUUUUAUCAGGGUAUUCUCUAUCGUCAACCAAUGCAACAAAACUUUAUGUAGAUCUACCUAUUCCUGAAACUAAGGAUGCACAUGAUAGGUGAGAAAAAUUAGAUAUUGUUUUUCUAUUUUAAUCUAUGUAGCAUGCACUCUAACAUGAUACAUUCUUUCAUAUGAUAAAAAAAUGUUAGUUCAAUUGAAAAUAUUGUCAAAGAGAUUCAUAUUGAGGACCAUCUAAAAGGGACAUUGGAAGACCAAAUGCAGUACAAUAGAAGAACUUUAGAAGAAUUAAAUUUCAUAUUAUUUGAAACAUCAAAUCAGGUAUGGAUUAGUAUGUUCAUUGUACACUAUACUAUUUAAAGACUUACAUACAUAAUGAUGGUAUUGUUCCUACUUUCAGGAUGAGGUAUUUACUAUUGAAGCAACAAUAAAUGAAAUUAAUGCAACAUAUGGUUGGUUGUCACACCCGAUUUUAAGGACAAAAUUGAGUGCAUUAAAUACAUGUGCACCAGGAUCAAGUUACACACAUCCUAUGAGUACCGUCCUUCUUUGGCACAAAGAUAACCGGUGCUCCCCAUGGUGAUGAACUAGGCCGAAUAAACUAUUUUGCUGAUAAUUCCUCUAGUUGUUGUUUCAAUUCUUUUAAUUGUUCAACCAACAUUCUAUAAGGACGUUUGGAGAUAGGUGCAGUACCAGGUAAAAGAUCAAUAGCAAAUUCAAUGUCGCGGUCAGGUGGCAUACCUGGUAAAUCGUCGGGGAACACAUCCGGAUAGUCACACACCACUUUGAUAUCUUCCAAGGAUUUUCCAGCCAACUGAUUAACUGCACAAUCUGCUGCUGAGGGUAGAGUAGCUACAAACUCCACUUUCUCUCCAUCAGGACCUGUUAGCAGAACUGUCCUCUUGGCACACUGAAUCGUUGCAUCAAAAGCGGCUAACCACCUCAUCCCCAGAAUUACAUCGAUUCCACUGGACUCAAGGACGAUAAGAUCAGCCGGAAACUCUAUACCCAUUAUUCUCAGUUUAACUUGUGGACAGAUGUAUUGAGCCUUCAUUGACCCCCCAGGUGAACUCACUAGCAUAUGACGCCUCAUGGUAUGCAUGGGUAAAUUAUGCUUUGCUACAUAAUGACUAGUGACAAAAGAAUGCGAUGCUCCAGAGUCAAAUAAAACUGAUGCGGGGGCAGAGUUGACAAAGAACAUACCAAGCACUACAUCUGGAGCCUCCUUAGCAGUCUCGGCUUCCAUGUGGUUCACCUUGCCACAAACAAAGCUUUGCUGCCCCUGAUUGCCUUGUGGGGUCUGGUUCCCAUUCCUCGGUUGCUGCAUCUGAUUCUGCCGAGGAGCACUGCUGUUCUGCACGGGGGUAGCUGGCCCACCUCUCUUAGGACAAGAGCUGGCAUAGUGACCAACCUCGCCACACUUGAAGCAGGUAGGACCCACUGGAGCAUUGGGCCUUGUUGGAGUGCCAGUAGGGGUCAUCUGGCGGUUCUGCGUAAAGCUUGGGCGCGGAGUCUGCAUAGUCUGCAUCCCUGGAUGCUGGAACUGAGGGCUAGGGCGCUGGAAUGACUGCUGAGCAGGGCGCGGAAAUGAGUGCUGCCAAAAAUUCCCACUCGGGCCCCCUGCGCGGAACGGCGUCCCUUGCUGUGGAGCAAAGCGAGGGCGGGUGUUGCUUCCUGAAGACUACUGGGAAUUGAAUUUCCUCUUCAUCUCCCCGAGCUCGUUCCUCUUGUGUUCCAGGCCAAUUGCCUUGUCUAGCAUCUUCUGGAAACUGGGGAAGGUGUGCGACAUAAGCUGAUAUUGGAGUGGUCCAAUCAACCCAUCCAAGAAUAGCUCCUGCUUCUGCUCAUCAUCAGCAACAUCUUCGGGAGCAUAUCGGGACAACUGGACAAACUUGUCCCUGUACUCUGCCACUGUCAUGUUCCCCUGCUUGAGAGCAAGGAACUCCUUCUUCUUAAGCUUCAUCAAUCCGGAAGGAAUAUGAUGACUUCUGAAGCUAGUCCUGAAUUCAUCCCAGGUGAUGCCAUUAGCAUUGGCAUGGGUGGUGGUGUAAGCAUCCCACCAAUCAGCAGCUGGCCCUUCCAGGCGUCCUGAAGCAUACAGGACCUUCUCCCUGUCAGUACAUUGGGCGAUAUCCAGCAUCUUCUCCACUGUUUUCAGCCAAUCAUCAGCAUCUAAUGGAUCCGGAGAAUGUGAAAACGUCGGGGGCUUGUGGCUCAUGAACUCCCUAUGCCUGUCCCUUGGCGGCGGCUGCUGCUGGUUGUUGUUGUUGUUAUUGUUCAGCUGAGCUUGUAAAGCUGCCACGGUGUUGGUCAGUCCGGCGAGAAGCUGAGUCUGAGCUGCUAGAAACUGCUCCAUCCCUGCAGGUGCUUGUUGGUUCUGUUGCGGAGCGGUGUUGGGAUUGCUGCUGUUGUCCCUGUGGCGUGGCACUGUGGGACGGUCAACUCCUGAUCCGGACCUGGUGUUUACCAUCUGAGCGUUAGAGACAAUGGAUUUAGAUAGAUGUGUGAAAGAAUAACUGAGAAAGAUAAAGCGACCAGAUGUAAAAGUAACACAGAUUCUGUUAGCUCCAUUUAAUUAGGUGUGGUCGUCAGAAGAAGUGUCCAUAAAUUCUGAACAAUUACCAAGUCGUAACUUAUUAAAUUUGUAAACCAACCCAACUGGAAUCAUCUCAAUCGGACUUCUGGAUCUCGAGUUACAAAAUUAACAAGCUGACAGUGUCGGUCGAUAGGUUCAGAUUCUGAGUGCUUUACUAAUUCGCAUACACCUCCCAGACAGAUACACCAAAAAUUCUGAAAAAUUUACAGAUAGUACUCCACGAAAUUCUGAAACUAACCCCACUGGUUUCAUGUCAUUUGGACUUCUGUAGCUAGAGAUAUAAAUAAAAAAGUACUGGCGUGUCAGUUAAUGUCGAGAACAGAAUUGAAUGUCGCUUAGCUUGCGUGAUGGAUAGAUUUAGACAGAUGGUAGAUCAUGAUUAAGGAAGAUUAAAUACUGAUUUAGAACAGAAAUAAAACCCAACUAAGCACUUUAUUUAUUAAGACCAGUAUCGUGUGGCAAUUGCCCCACAUACCGCACUCAUUACAAAAUCCAACUCAAACAUGUAGCACAAAACCAAUCAUCUAAGCACACUUUAACUAACACACUCGAACGACGUCUAACGAUUACAAGAAUUUAAACUAAAACACUCCUAAUUUCCUAGAGGUCUUCUGCGGCGGUGCCGGGCGAGUCGUAGCGGGGACGCUUAGGCGACGGCGACGAAGCGGGAUGAACAGCAAACUCCUGCGGCGGCGGUGCUCCCGUCGCGGCAGCCAUAUUCGCAUCCCUCUCCCACCGGAGUUCCUGAACCUCCUGUUGAAGCUCCUGGAUGUGGUUGUUUGCUUCAUUCAAUGCGGUGAGAGCUGCCGACGUGUACUUGCGGAGGAAGUCUGUAGCCAUGUCAACCCCAUCGUUAGUAGCGAUGAAGGUUCUUGCUUCCCCACUAGCUCGGUAAGGAAGGAACCGAUGGUAAGUGUGCUGCAAUCGCGGCCGUUCCUUGUGGGAGACGACCUCAAGUGCCCUCCUGGCGGCCUCGGCAAUGCCGGAUUCCAUGGUCCUCCUUAUGGUCACAUCAUGGUGAAAAGCCUUCACCUCCCAUCCUCCCUCGUGCUCCUCACGAAGGACAACCUUCACCUCCCAAAAAGUGGGAUAGCGAGGGUGGGUGAACCGGGAGCACUUGUAGAGUGGCCUCAUGCCGUACCCCAAGCGGUGACAAGUCCACCUGAGUAUGUCGGCCAUGUGCACUCCUUGGCCAUAAUCUUCCUUCACCCAUUUGAUCCAUGUCUCGGGCUCGGGAUCUGCUUCGGGCUCAUCAUCCGUCAAGUCGACGACCGGUACGGGCGUCGGGGCUGGUGCAGGAGCGGGCGCCGGUGCUGGCGACGGUGCUGGUGACGGCGUGGUCUCCUGCUCCACGGUCACGGCGUCCCCGUCAGAGUCAUCCCCCGGAUGCUGGAAGAUCUCUUCCUCUUCUUCCUCGUCCCAAGGCUCCAUGGGGGCGUACGACGGCGCGAUGCCAUGACGCGGCGGACGGGUGCUCUUGCGUGCGGUCAACCGGGUGCGAGCCAUCUAACAGAAAGAAAGAAGAAAAUUUUAGAAUAAAAUUUUGAACAAAGCUAGAUAAUAAAAUAGCAAUAAGGAUGAGACAAAUCAAGUUUAAGAAUAAUUAAGUAGAUUUAAAUUAAGAAAGGUAGGAAUGGCUACUAGAUUAUUAUAAUCCUUAAAUACGACCAUUUUCUAACUAGGCUAACGUCCUACAGUCAACACGGCUCUGGUACCACUUUUGUCACACCCGAUUUUAAGGACAAAAUCGAGUGCAUUAAAUACAUGUGCGCCAGGAUCAAGUUACACACAUGUACGACAAUAGUGAAUAGUAAAGCCAGUGCUAAAUCGAAUAAAGAGAGUAUUAACCAUUAUUACAUGACCGAAUGUCUCAAAUAAACCACAAAGUCUAAUUAUUACGCAGCGGAACUCCAAAGAUGACGACGACUCCAUAGGCAGCUGACUGAAGAAACGUACGCCUAGAACUCCUCGAAGUCGUGGAAGUACUCCUCUUCCCAAUUAACUUGGUCUGAACAGCGGUUUUGCAAGGGUGAGUACACUUAUGGUUGGUACUCAACAAGUCGUGGGAAGUAGUGUAGUGUAAGGCUAAUUCAAGGUAUGGCUAAGGCGUAAAUAGCAUUCGCUUUUAAUUAAGUUGGUCAAAUUUUAUUAGCAUUUACUAAGUAUAAGUUCAUACCACCCGAAAUUAAACAUGAACAUAAAGUAAACCACAUGUGCAUGAAAUGAUAACAAAUUAAAUCCAUCUUCCGAUAAUAUUAUCAUGUGAGGGUCCAGGCCGCUCUUAACCGUGAGCACGGCUGAUUGAUCAGUUUAACACUCUGCAGAGGUGGCACAUCUUUACCCACAAGUCGCGUAAAAGUUCAAAAGAACUUUGGACCCAACCAUGCGGUGUUUGCAAGGCACCAUACCACACUUCCGAGGUGUGAUUGCAUAGGGACGCUACGAGGCCUUUACAAAGAUUCAUUAAUCAGUGGUAACCCGCUAAGGUUUCGGUGUCUGGCGUGCACCACCCAUCCCAGGUAAAAUGCAACGACUCAGUCCCCCCCCUUGAAUCAUCACGAGUAAGGUCACCCCAGACUAAGGUUUCUAAUUAAUCAGCCAAGACCAGAGCUAUUUAGUCUUGUGGUAGCACUGUUUUCCUGGGUGGUCGCUCCAUGUUCUGAUUAACAAAUAAUGAUCUUGUCUUAAUGAAAGGUAUAACAGAAAUAAGGCAAGAUUAAGCAUUGUUUUUAGUUAAACCACCAUGUACCAAGUAAGCACUAAGCAUGAGCUACCCAACAUAAAGUAAACCGGUUGGUCAAGGCAAAGGUAAAACAAUCUAGGCCAACCUUAAUUGGGACCCAUCAAUUUAAUCUUAAUAUGUGCACAGCAUAAAUGUUGAGUACGAGAAAGUAAAGGUGUAUAGGACAAAAAGGUAGUGAUCAAGGACACGACUUGCCUUCUUGGCCUUGCUCCUGCUGUUCGUACUCCUCGAAGGCUUGAUCGGCAACUCCCUCGAACUGCGGGGCGUCUACACGCAUCACACGAGCACAUACAAGCAAACAUGGGCAAAAGUAAGAAAACAGUAUACCAAACAUAGUCAAACAGAGAAAACAAGCUUGAAAAGAUGAUCUACGCUUUAAAACGAACACGCGGAUAUAAAGAACGCGAAAAACGGAGUUAAGAUGCAAAAGAUAUGAUUAAAACAAAAUCCAGGGACUUUUCUGUAAGAAAAACAAAACUUUUAGGGCCUAUCCGCGAAAACCGAGGGCUUAUACGUAAUUAUGCGUAUAAACCGAGGGUCUGAUGCGUAAAAACAUCAAACCCGGACGGCGGGUUGAUUUCUGGAAAGGUCAAGGGUUAAACCGAAAAAUGCGAGGGCAGAUCUGUAAAUACUUUCAACGCGAUCUGGACCGCGGGUUGAUUUGCGAAAAAGGCGGGGGCUAAAGUGCAAAAACUGCACGGCGCGGCUCGGUUGACCGGUACGCGAUCUUGAUUGACUCGCGUCCGGCCGUCGGAUUAAGAUCCGACGGUCGCGGUGAUCCGCGACAUCGCGGCGGCGGCGGCGAGCGGCGGCGAGCGGCGGCAAGCGGCGGCGGGUCGCCGGAGUUAGGCAAAAUAGCGCCACGAGGCACGGUUUAACGCGCGGGUUGCACCAAAAAAGAGAGGGGAACACGUCGAUCCCGUUUUGGGGGUUCUUGUCGACGGGGGCUCACCGGCGACGGCGAACGGCGGCGAGGAAGAGGCGGCGGCGCUAGGAGCUCGGGCGGCUAGGGUUUCGGGGAGCUGCGGCGCUGGUUUUGGGCGGAGGAGACUGGGAGGAGGCGGCGGCUUUUAUAGGGCUUGGAGAUAGAGCCGGCGCGGGUUCAAAUCCCCCGGAGGAGUCGGAGCGGAUGGAGUCCGGGGCGGAGACGGCGCGCGGCGGUUGCGGAGUUCUGACCGGAUUCGGCCGGAGGUGGGAGACGAUGGGUGGGGUCCACCCGUCAGUGGCGGAGGGGAGCGGUAGACGGGCCGGCGCGACCGUGGGCUGGCGCGCGCUCGUGGGCUGCGGGGAGCGGGAGAGAAGCGGCGAGCGGGCGCUGGCGGAGCAGGCCGAGCGGAGGUAGAGCUGGGCCGCGGAGAAAAAGGAGGAGGCCGGCGGGCUGCUUCGCAGGCCGGUAAGGAUGAGGCGGCCGGGCCGAAGAAGAAAAAGAAAAGGAGGGACAAGGAGCUUUCGGCCGAGGGAAAAGAAGAAGAAAAAGAAAAGGAAGAAGAAAAGGGAAAAGGUUUUGGAAUUUGAAUUUAAAUCUGAAAUUCAAAAUUUGAUUCAAACUCAAGCAACCAAAAAUUAUGCUCCAGCAUGAAUGCACAAAUAAUUCCUAUGAUGAAUUAAUUGAAUUAAAGAAAAUGAAUUUAAAUGCCUAGAAAUUAAAUAACACCCUAAUUUGAGCAAAUUUUAAUGAAUUUGAAUUAUUGAAAUUUUGGGUGUUACAUUGGUACUACAUCUCAUGUAGUAGAGGCGAUUGUAAGAAGCAACUUGAAAAGAAGUUUGAUCACUACUAUUGCAAUAAAUGUGACAAGAGAGCCGAACCUAAAGCCCAGUAAAUUAUUUAGUAGUUUACAAUCUUAUUAUAAUACUUCUAUUUCUAAUAGGAGAAUAAUAUUUUCAGAUUCAAAUUAAGCUUCAAAUAAGUGAUCCAACAACAAGUGCAACUUGUGUACUUUUGACAAGGAAGCAGAAAUGAUAAUUAAUGAAUGAGCAGAUUCGAUGAUCACCUCAGUUGAUCAUGAUAAUAAGUAGCUACCAAAAUCAAUUCAGGAAAUAUGUGAAGAAACAUUGAUUUCUCAAUUCAGAUUGACCGAGUACAACUUGACAAGUUUUAGACCUGAUUAUACUGUUUCAAAGAUAUUUUUUCCAAAAGAAAAGGGCAGUUCAAGAAUUGGUAUGGAAAGUGUAAAAAAGGUAACACUUUAUUAUUAAUUUUUUAUUGCACUUUUUUCUUUUGAAUCCGUAAUACUUAAUAAUUUUACUAUAUCAAUGAAACAAAUUCUAACCUAAAUUUAUUUUCUUUUUUAUUAUUUGUAGGAAGUAGAAGACAACUCAGACAAAUGCUACACGAUAACUACCGAGAAUGAAGAGGUAGACACUGAUGACUCUUUUACCGAGAAAGUAACAUUCGUAGAAGAAGCCAUAAGGACUGGGGAAAGAUUGGCUAGAAAAGUAUACUCACUUCCAUGUCAGUGUUCAUUCUAUUUACAAUACAUGCAAAAAAAAUAUUAUUCAUGCAAAAUUGCAGGUCUACUAAGCAUUAAAGGAAUAGCGGAUAGUGCAAUAUGUAAUCUGAGCAGCAUGCAUUACAAAGUGCUCUACUGCAAUUAAAUUAAAAAACAUGAUAUAUGUUGAAUUCUUAGACUUUAUUAUUAUACUUUUCUACGUGACAAUUCACAAUUUUUUAGAAAAAAGAAGAUCCCAGAAGAAGUGACCAUGAAAAAAGGUCUAUGACCAGCAAUAAGAAAAAAUGCAAGCAUAGAAACAAAUCCGUAGAAAACAUAGAAAAUAAGGUACUCCAUAAACAAAAGUAUUCUCUUAUAUUUUUAUUAAAUAUUUUUUUAACACUUGACAAGUUCUUUUUUAGGAUCAAUAUAUCAGCAAUUCAGAUGUCAUUGGAGAUGAAACCUUAGUUCAUCCAAAAGGUCAAAAAAAAACAUCUGAAGAAAGGUGUUUGGCUGAAAAGGAAAAGCAAAAAAGUGGUAAUGCAGACAAACACAUGCAGAAAAAUAUAAAAACAUGUCAUAGGGAGGCAGACCAAUCUUGCAAGGAGGUAUAGACGAAACGUGAUACACGACCUGCCUACCUUGUCGUGGAUACCCCAAGAAGAUGUCAUAGAGGUGCAGACCAAGCUAGCAAGGAGGUCGAAACGUGAUACACGGCCUGCCUACCUUGCCGUGGAUAUUAGCCCUGAGAUCAUUCUACUGUUCAAGGAAUAACACUCAAUGCUGCUGCUGCUGCUGACCUGGCUCCAUAAAGUUAUACUCCUCUAGGUGCUUGCACUAACUUUAUCUGAAGUAUUAUUCUCUCUGCACUGUAUAUAUGGUUAUGGAGUUUGCUGGAGUAUCCGGGGCGAAGAACCUACAUAAUACGUCUUGGAACUAAUUGACAUUGAUUCACAGACAAACUCUACAAGGUGCUGUUCUUGCCAUUUUAGAGCAUCCAAAGGACUAUAAAUAACAUAGUUUACCAUAUACCAUAUACCAUAUACCAUAAUAUGUUAGCUAAAAUAAGAGCAUACACAUGUUGCAGGAGUCCAAAAGCACCGGUUGAGGACCAGGUACAUUGAAUUACUAGAAAAAGACAGGGGACAAGGUUUAGGUAACCACAUGAAACAUUUGAAUUUAUUGUACUAUGAACACUUAGUUACCAUGCCAGGAGCACAUAGUUAACACUAACAUUUAGCCACUUUAGAUCAUCCCGAAUCACCAAUGACCCUCAAUAGUGACAAAUUUUGGUUUAAAUGCCAUCACCAAUGAUCCUCAAUAGUGACGUAUUUAGGUUUAAAUCCCGUCACUAAUAACCCUCAAUAGUGACCUGUUUUGGUUUAAAUCUCAUUACCACUGAUCCUCAAUAGUGAUGUGUUUUAGCAAAACAUGUUAUCAAUGACUUGUCAUUGGUGACGUGUUAAAACGCGUUAUCUCAAUGGCAAAUCAUUGGUGACGUGUUAUCUCAAUGUUAUCAAUGUUCUAUUCUUUUCAACAAUACCAGCUCGUUCCUCCGUUUUUAUUCCACCAAUACAAGCACCACCUUGUAACAUUUCCUAUGUUUUUUUUCCUUUUGUCUGUUUUCUCACUACAUGCGUUGCUCUUUCAUGCAUUUUUUUCCAUUCCUGUAUUCCAAAUAGGUCUACAUGAACACAAAAUGAACUAGGGGACAGAAAAAGCCAGUGAAGCCAAUUUUGAGCUUCACCAGCUACUUGCUACAUAAAGUGUGCUAUAGUGACGUGUUUUAGCAAAACAUGUUAUCAAUGACUUGUCAUUGGUGACGUGUUAAAACGCGUUAUCUCACUGGCAAAUCAUUGGUGACGUGUUUUAAAAAAACAUGUCACCGUGAGAGUCAUUGGUGAAGGGUAAUUAAAAUGCGUCACUAAUGUUGUAGCAUUAGUUAUGAUAAUUUAGUAACGCAAAAAUCUACCAUCAGUAUUGAGCUUUAGAGCCAUCGCUAAUGUGGGUUUCUUACAUAGUGAUGCAAGCUCUACAAGGUGCUGUUGCUGCCAUUUUAAAGCAUCCCAUGACUACAUGUUAAUAACAUAGUUUACCAUAUAUCAUAAAAAUAUUAGUUACAAUAAGCACAUACGCAUGUGGAAGAGUCCGAAUGCACCGGUUGAGGACUAAACACAUUGAAUUACUAGAACCAAAUGUAUGUUUAGAACAAAGACAGGGGUCAAGGUUUGGGUAACCGCAUUAAAAACAUUGGAUUUUACUGUACAUGAACACUUAGUUACCAUUACCAUGCCUUGAGCACCUAGUUACAACAAACAUUAAUUUAGCCACUUUAGAGCUUCCAGAAUCGCUAUAAAUAAUAUACCUACGCCGUACCAUGAAAACAUCAAGAAGAGAGACGGAUACAUGGACCACCAUCAAGCGAGUAGUGACAGCACGCACAAGAAUACCCGGAACCUGUUAGCUUGUCUGUAGUGAUCUGUUUUCUUCCCCAUAAAAUCCAUGAGUAUUGCCACAAAUAAUGAAAGAGGCUGACCAAGCUAGCAAGGAGGUAGAGCAAACGUGAUACACGGCCUGCCAAGAUUGCCCUGGAUACGCCAAUAAGAGCGACAGAUACAUGGAUCACACCAAUAUGGUGAAACGUAUAUUCAUCACACAAGCAAAGCUGGUCAGUUUAUCCAUGGUCAAAUUGUGGUCUUUGUUUUCACUUGAGAGCUAAUUGAGGCACUAUAAUAUGGGCAGGCCUAUCUUCAACAGACAUGACAGCUACAGGGAACUUGACAUAAUUUGCUGGGCCGCCUGUGCACAAUUAUUUGUUUUAUUGUCCUUGCAUAGAAUGCUAAAAUACUCUUUACAAAAUGUUGGAUCUAAUAUUUGAAAUAUAGAGUAGUAAUCAUAUAUUGAUCAACAACUUGAAAUUAUCUGUACAUUCUCGGUGAAGCUGUUGAACUAAUUUUUGCAAAUUAUUAAUUCAUCUCAUUACGUAAAGAAAAAAGUAAGUGGAUAAGAUAUUUCGUGGACCACAUCACUGCAAACAUGUCAUGGAGAGACAGACCAAGGAGGCAGGACGUGAUACACGACUUACCCUAGGUUGCCGUGGAACCGCCAAGAAGAGAUACAGAUACAUGGACCACACCAUCUUGGGAGUAGUGACAGCAUAUAUGCAGAAGAAUACCCCGUGCCUAUUUGCAUGCAUGUCUCAAGUGAUCUGUUUUCUUCAGAAAAUACAUGAGCAUUGCCAGAAAGAAUGGCAAGAGACAAACAUGUCAUAGAGACUUGCAUGUCUUGCCUUGGAUACGCCAAGAAGAGGGACACAUACAUGGAUAACACAAAUCUAGUGACACGUAUAUUCAUCACAAAGGCAAAUCUGAUAAUUUUAUCCAUGGAGCAGACCAAGGAGAAAUUGAUGACGGACAUGUGAUCUCUGUAUUCAGUUGAAAGCUAAUUGAGCUACACUAAUAUGAGCAGGACUAUAUUCAAGAGACUUGUUGAGAGCUACAGGGAACUUGUAAUAAUUUGCUGGGCGGCCUGCGCACAAUGAUUUGUUAUACAUAGUUGAAAUAUUUCAAGAAUUUAUCAACCUCAUACUCUGAAACCCUUGGUGCAAUGUACUCUGCUUUCCGAGGUAGACUGUUCACGUAAAAUGAGGUCAUGCGUAAGACGGAAUCGGAUUGGAUUCACAGGGAAUCAGAUUUGGAUAGCACCUUUUAGCAGGUUUUUAGUCAAAUGCAAAUUCGGAUCCACAUGUGGUUGAAUGCGAGUUCAAAAUUCUACUUGGAUAUCCAUUUAAUUUAGGUGAUAGCAAUUAGCACAAAAUGUUGGAUGAACAAAAUCAUAGUUAGACAUACAAUUACAUGUAUGGUUAAAGUAUAAUACAAUACACCAAGAUUAUUCCUUGAAAAUAUUUCUUAAAAAUAUUAUAAUAAAUGAAUAAAUAUAAUUGUGGCCACCAACAAAUAGUCGGUGGUCGCUAAGUUGGAGCCAUUUCUGGUUACUAAUGCGGCCUUCUCCUCGACCAGCGACGACAGCUGAGCUUGUUCCUUCUGACACUAAAUCAUCAGAGUCUUCCCUCCACUACUAUAGAAUGCACCUUUAGCACCAAUUGGGAAAUCCCCUUCAGUAUUGGAUGCUGCAACCAGUGCUAUAUAUCAAAAUGGAGACUAAAAGCCUCGGUCUUGGGUACCGGUUGCAUAACGCAUUACUAAAGGAGGCAAAAGAGAAAUGUAACAAAAAAAAUAUUUUGAAUUCCAAGAAUGUUUCACUAUUCAAGAUGACUAGCUGAGAGUCAACAGACAAGAUACUAGGAAUGUGGGUGCUUGAAUGCAUUUGUACAGAGGUCAUACUAUUUACAAACUCUUCUAUGUUUCCAUAUGACUACCUACUUCAAUGUCACGCGAGCCAUUCAGCUGGACACAUGGCACACUAGCUUGCAUGUCGAAUCCAUGAUUAAUUAUUUGCACUUGUGAUCUCUUACCAGUAUUUGUCCAGACUAGAAACGUGCAACACAUUUUUAGGAUAUGGACACGCAUAUAUUUGGACUAGUAUACAGGUCACCUUUGGAUGCGUACAAGGAUGACCGGGAGGGACUAAUGGAUACAAGGAAGGGACCAUCAGGAUUAAUAUUGACAUAUGCCACAUGACAAUCUUCAUUGUCAUGCAAUCCCUAUCAACAAUCAUGGAAUCCCUAGUGUACUAAUCCCUGGAGGGUUGUGUGGAAAUUUAUUUUACCUUGCGGUGAAAAUCUCAUGAGCAGUCAUUAGUUAAGCUGACUAGCUGAGAUAUAAUAGACAAGCUAGUAAGAUUGGGAGCAUCAAUGCAUCCAUACAGGGUCACAAUAUCCUUUCCAUUCACUUUUAUAUAUAACCCUACGAAUACAAGUCCAACGAAAUGCGGGCCUUUCGAUCAAGAUAAAUUAAAUGGCCCACUUGUAUUUCUAAUCCAGGAUUAACUAUGCCCUCUGUUCAUCUCUUGCAAGCACGUGCAACACAUUUUCACGAUAUGGACAUGCAUGGAGGUUAUUAUACUGUUUGGACAAACUCUGAUGUGCCAUGACCUAAAUGCUUAGGGCCUGUUUGGUUUGAGUUGCUUAUUAUAAGCAACUUAAAGUUGCUUAAAGUUGCUUAUUUGAAGUUGCUUAUUUUUAGUCUAAACUGUUUGGAUACCCUUGCUUAUGAGCAUUGAAUGAGUUGGACAUUGUCAAAUUUGCCCCAUGUGUUGCUACCCCUCCAAUUUGCCUCCCCACCCUUCUUCUUCCUGCACACGUCCGAUCCCGGGGGCCGACGGCGGGCAGGGAGCAGCAGCAGCUGGCCAGGGCGGCGGUGGGGCGGGAGCGGCGGCGCACACCAGCACGCGCUCGCACGCCAGGUGCUAGGGCGCGGCGAGGCAGUCGUCGUAGCCCACCGGGAGCGGGUGCUCGGGCGCGAGGCGGUACUCGACGGAGAUGCCGAGCGUCGGGCGCGCGGCGGCGAGCGCGUUGAGGAAGCGAUGGUAGUGCGGCGACGUCGCGGACUCCGCCACGAAGCCGCCGCCGUGGACGUACACCACCACGGGCAGCUUCGUCUUGCCGUCGGCGGCCGCGGCCGCGGCCUGGGGUGGCAGGUAGAGGCGGACGGAGCAGGAGCCGAGGUCGACGUCCCUGGAGUCGACGCCCGUGGCGGCGUCCAGGCUGGGCCCGACCGGCGGCGGCACGAGCGGGCGCUCGAUGCGGCCGCUCUUGUAAAUCCGACGGGUCUGUGCGGAGGCGGGCGGCGGGCGGGAGCGGCGGGUGGGAGCGGCGGCAGGUGGUGCGGAGGCCGGCGGCGGCGGGUGGCGCGGAGGAAGGGGAGCUGGUGAGUGGUGACAGGGGAGGGGGGGAGAGAGAGGGGGGGUAGGGUGCAUUGAAUGAGGGCAGGAGGUGUAAAGUGCACCUUUUAGUCCCCAUGAGCAACCAUAAGCAGCCCAAGAGUUGCUUAUUUGCUUAUAAUAAGCAACCUCAUAAGCAAGAGUGAUUGGUUUCAUAAGCAACUUAUUUGCUUAUUUUAAGUUGCUUAUGCAUAAGCAUGUGAAACCAAGCAGGUCCUUAACCUAUGGUUGUGGCACCACACAGUACAUAGUAUUUAAUAAUGCUAUUCGUUUGGUAUGUGCACAAGGGCACGCAUGAAAUGUCUGGCCCACGGUAAACAAGUACGGACGCUGCAAAUAAUCUACUCUGCUCGUCCAGUCCCUAGCCUAUAAAUAGAUGCCAUGCUAGCUCUUGUUGUGCUCACAAUUAAUCCUGACUACACACGAGCUUCUCUCCCUGGCCAAGACACAAUCAUAGUAUGAUGAAGAACAUGGCACUAGCCGGCAAUGGUAUGAAGAACUUAAUCCUCGCUGUUCUCUUACUGUGUCUAGUUAUAGGGCAGAUACAAGUGGAAGCUAAGAGCUGCUGCCCAUCCAUUACUGCAAGAAAUAUCUACAAUGCCUGCCGUAUCACGGGUACAUCCCGUCCAACGUGUGCAAAACUGUCAGGCUGCAAAAUUAUCAGCGGGGACAAAUGCAAGCCCCCUAACGACCACCUCACCCUUGACCCGGACACUGGUAAAUAAUAAAUUUAUCUCACUUGAUUUCUUCGUGUUUUGAGUCGUUAAUGUAUUUUCCAUCUGAUGAAACGUAUUGGUUUUGCAUUGAAGAGGAAGUUAAUGUGCUUAACUUCUGCAAGUUGGGGUGUGCGUCGUCUGUGUGCAACAACAUCAACGCUGGUAAGCACCUUUUGCUCAGACGGAGAAAACAAUAAUCAUUAAUUAGCGGCAGCUAGAAUCCUAUAAUCUAAUAUAUUUAUAUAUAUAUAUAAUUUUAUCAGCUCUGGGAAAUGAAGAGGCGAACGAUGCCGUUGAGAGUUGCGACCAAGCCUGCUCUAGCUUCUGCAACGUGCACGUUGGCGCUGCCACCGUGGUUGCUUAAGCAAAUGCAUCCAACUGGAUCGUCCUUGUGCUAAAUAAUUGGAUAUCGUAUCCACUUAAAGCUGCCUUGUGUAGUACGUUUUUGUUUGUGUCUCUCUUUAUAUUCCAAUAAGGUCGGUGAUCUUGAUGCCACACACUCAGACGUGUGUUCAUCUCCAGAUACUACUCCAUGCUACCUGCCCUUUGUGUUUUGUUCAAUAACUGGGUAUCAUAUCCCAGCCAGUGUGCCAUCUGUUUUGUGUUUAUUUCCUUCUAGUUUCAAAGGGGUUAUCAUGAUGUUACCUUCUUUCGAUAUGGUGCUUUGCAUGACUACUGUUGUAUGGUACCAUCUUGUUGGCCAAUAAAUACAUCUUAUCCUAUGACCCUUUGCUAUGACCCUUUGCAAAUAAGUACAAGAUUGUUAAAUACUCGGUAUAAAUUGACUACUGCUGUGAGUUCCCUUUCAGCUUAUCGUAGGCAUACAUUAUUGCUAGCACGGUGAAGACAACCAACACGAAUGGUCAAGUAAACGUACCGGUACUUUUGUAUACCAACACCCUUGCUUAAAUGUACCGGUGUUACUCCCCACUAGCACAUAUAUUCUUAUAUGCUAGCCGGCUUGAAAAUUAACCGAUUAAAAUAAUUAUUUCAAGACAGAAAUAACUUAUCGGCUUCUCGAAGCAUGUGUAAUGUGAAUUCAAGGACUUGAUGGAAGUUGAAUCGCUUAAUCUAGAUUGCUUUCAGGAUUUUGGGUAACUAAAUUUAACAUUUGCACAUACAAAUGUUAAUGUACAAAUAUUAAAUAUAGUUACCCAAGCAGAAUAUGAAGAUACUCUAUAGUAUAUAUAUACUAUAUAAAUCUAGUUAACAUUUAGUCUAAAUGUUAAAUCUAGUUACCUAAAAUCCUGAAAGCAAAAUGUAUAAAUAUAUAUCUUUUAAGGAAUCCCAAAGCAAGAGUUCAGUGGCAUUCUAUAGUCCCAUGCUGCUAGUUUGAGUUGGUCGAAGCCAACUUAAAUAGGAGAGCUCUCUCACUUCUCUAAAUACGUAACUGAAGGAGAGAAGGGGGCUUGGUUACACAACGCACGCACGCACGCAUAUUUGCGUUCUUUUCGCGUAACCAACCGCGUGACUUGAAACUUGCGACGUAGCGUGCUGCCAAGUCAAGUUGAUAUAACCUUUUUGCCGUAGGCGUGUAAUCUUUUGACAACGGUCAUUGGAGGUGAUAAGCACGCAGUCAAUACCUUAAUCCUGAGUUAAUAGGGCGGUUACUACUGCCAAUUAGUGGGGCAAUUUUGUAGGGGAAACGGUUAGCAGAGGGCUACCAUCUUCUCUAUAAGAAGUUCUGGAGACGUCCAGGAACACACAUGUACAUGUGAGAGACCCACGAAUUCCUUCCCAUCUCCCUUUUCCAUCUGGUGAAGUGUGCUAUGGUACUGAGCUGCUGGAUCUCGCCGGCUCUUCUCCUUGGCGUGCACCGAGGAGGAGGGUGAGCGGUAUCUCCGAGCUAUUGCCGUCAGGAAGCCUGCACGAGGGACAACAAUAAAGUUUUUGGGUAGCGCAACUACGCAACCGCUCGAUUCGAUCGACUAUGUUCUGCGCUGCCUCAUCUUCGAUCUGCACUGCAACACGUAACCCUGCAGCAAGUCUACACAAGGACGGAGCACUAAUCUGUAAGUCCUAGAUUGGUUUCUUACAGAGUUGUAGGUUACACAAGAUCUAGAAUUGUUACAUACUUAUUAUUAUGGGUUACAUGAUGUUUUGUACGGUUACGUCUAUUUUGCAUAUGCUAUUUUUACAUACCGUUUACAUGCAUAUGUAAUGGUUACGCCUAGCUAUUUGAAUCUAGAAUUGGGUUACAUAGCAGUAGCAAUGACUUACGUAAUAUGCCUCAUGUUUAUAUCUGGUAGAAUUUAACACGUAUCUCCAACAUAUUUUGAGGCAGUAUAAAUUUCAAUUCCUUUUGCUGCUCUGUUAAAUCCCGUCUUUCGUGUGGCCCAACACUCUAGUAUGCAUGUAGCACCAAGCUUGUUUGAGCCGCUUUGUGCUCUGAUUUUGCUGUCUGUAUCAGGUUGGACUGUUUCUUUGUCUUGCGAUGUAUAGCUUCAUAUCUUCUAGAGGUUAGACAGCAAAACCCGCGUUCUCUUAAGGCAACAACUCGAAGAAUCUGCAGCGCUCCUGAUAUAUCACUGCUGCAGAAACAAUCUUUAGUACUGAUUUCCAACCCCCUUUAGUAUCGGUUUGGCAAUCAGUACCACUACGUCGGUACUAAAGGGAGUUCUCUAGAAUCGGGUCAAAUAACUGGUACUAAAAGUGCUCCUCUACUACCAGUUGGUAACACCAAUAGGUAGUAACUUUUUUUGCACCCAAAAAAUUAAAGAAAAACAGCCGGGAGGCUCGCGCACACACGCAUCAUGAGUAAUAUGCGCGUGCAUGGUUUGUGGGAUUCCAACCCACGACCAAGCUAUAAGCACGUAGUUACAAAAAAAUUAAACACUUAGACAUUUUAGAGCAUCCCAAAUAACUACAAAUUCUUUAGUUUACCAUAUACCAUAAAAUAUUAGUUAAAAUAAGAGCAUACGCACGUCGGAAGAGUCCCAAUGCACCGGUUGAGGAUCAGACCAGGCACUUUGAAUGCACAUGCCAUAAGAUAAUUCUGCAGGACGAUGAUUGCAAUAAUGGACCAUCGAGAAGAUAGGGGCGAUGGGGUUGCCUCAUCAAUUAUGACUUGGCGCAACAAGACCAGCAAAGUCUUUAUCGACAGGGGUGGAUCAAGGGGUGGGGCGGGUAGAGCUCCAAUCUUCCUACCGCCGCUCGAACAAUGGAGCCCCCCUUAGCCCCUCCAUAAAUUUUUAGGUAGAAGAAAAAAGAAGAGAAGGGAAGGAAGGGGAAGAAUAGGGAGCCCCUCCUAAGUAGGUCGCCAUCGUGCUUCCCAACGCAUGAUCGCCGCACCGCAUCCAUUCCUCUACAAGCCUCCAGCGUCUCUCCUGCCGCUACCUCUGAACCAUGUGCAGCUGCAGACCCAACUAGUGUCUUGUCACCCAUCUCAAUCCCAACAGAGCGGCGGCUCCUGCCAGCACAAAUCUCCCUCCGCCUGUUCUUCACGAUCGAUGGCCACCACAAGCAUAAACCUCGCCUUCGCAUCCACGCAAAAGGGUCGCCGGUGUGCCUUCUCGCAUCGCUUCUCAGCCUCCUUCACUUGCGGCUGGCCAAGAACCGUGCCACCACCUCGGGUGCGCGCCACCGCUCCAGGGCCGCUACCCCAUGCGUGCGGCCGCCGCCGGCCACCACGCGUGUGCAACCGUGUCGCACCGCUUCCCUGCUCUGUGCCACCACUGCUACUGCACCACCAGCUCCACCACCUUGGGCUGGUCGCCAGGGUGACUGAUUGGUGGAUUAUUACUACAAAUAAGUUCCUUAUUAUCUGCAACUACUAUUAACUCAGGGAUACAUGCGUCUUUUGCUUCUCCUGUUAAUAUGUCCUAAAAUAUCUAGAAUGCCUUAUAUUUCUGGACGGAGGAAGUAUUUGAAUAAAAUGAACCAAUUUUAAAAAAUGUGUUGUACACUACUACAGAAAGAACUAUCAGUGUCAAACCCAAAAAUGUCGUCACUGCCAGUUUUGGGCAUCGUUGGUGAAAGGUUGGCGGUGAUGGGUAUCCCCUUCAACAACGGCACUAGAGCUAACAGUGAUUGACAUUAGAAAACGAAAAAGGGGACCCACCUAGCCACCCCUGCAACCCGGCUGGCCGUGCCUCCCGUCAUCCCCACCACCUCGCCUCCCCCGUGACCCCCCGCCGGCGCCCUUGCGCCUAGCCCCCUCGCCUGCCUGGCCGGCCACCCUCGUCACGAGAGAGAGGGGUGCAUGUUGUAUAAUUGCGUGAAUUUUUAAUGUUUAAUUUCAUGUAAGUUUCAUAUAAUAAAUUGUACAAGUUUUAUUGUAUAUAUGAAUUCCAUAUAUAUAUAUUUAUAAUUUAAUGUAUGGUUUCAUGUGUAUAUUUCAAUAAUGUGUAUAUUUAGUAGAUAGCCGAUUUUCUUUUUCUACAAGACAAGGGUUGAUGUAUAAUUACGUGUAUAUGUUUAUUGUACGGGCAAUUAGGACAAGUUUUGUAUAAAUUUCUUUUAUUUCAUGGUUGUUGUAUGGUUUCAUGUAUAUACAUUUAUUGUACUACUUGAGACAAUUUUUAAUUUAAUGUUUCUAUGGUUACAUGUGUGUAUAACUAAUUGUAUUAUUAGUUAAGAUGGGAGCCAAAGAGGAUGAAAGGUAUAUAAUGGAGCAGAUUAUUGCUGGCGGUAGUGGCUCAAACGUUGCAAGAACCUACAUCAAGGGUGAGGGUAGCUAGGUGGACAUGUACCUCAACAUGUCCAGUGAUGGCAAUGACGAUGAGGAGCACGAGCAUGACGUUUAUGAUAGUGCGGAACAAGACAUUGCAGAAUUGGAAGGUUCUAAUGAGGUGUGCUUCAUGUUGAUGAUCUGGUUGGCUUUUUUUCUUUGGUCACACCUUAGUUACCAUAGAACUUCGUCUCGGGAGAAGAUUGGAGGUGCUAUGGUGAUUGGAAUUUUAUUGCCUCCAAAUAUGAUUUCCAUCGAAUCAUAUCCCUUGUAUUUAUCUUCUUUUUAUUUGUGAGAGCAUCUUCUUUAUGCUUGCAAAACAAUUCAAGUGCACAUACUACACCUAGGGUGAUGAUUAGGAGUAGAAACAAUUGCCAACAAACGAACACCACAUCCUAAGAUUCUUAACUUGUGGUAUAAUUAGUCUAGUAAAAAGAAAGAUAAAAACCUAAUGGGUGUACGUGAGUGCAAUGCGUAUAUGCAUAUGAGUGGAAGGCAUAUAAGCAAAGAUAAUAUUUACACAUAGAUCUAAGCACCAUGUUUACAACUAAGUUGCUGAAUUUCUCCAUAGCUAUAGAGAUUAAUGAACCAAGGUCAAAACACCAUGUCUAUCCCAAGAUCAGUAAUUCUUUAUAGCACAAGAAAAAGAAAGCGCAUUGCAAAGUUUAUAAACCAACCAAUGCAGCAUGAAAACAAGAUGAAUAGCUAGCAAGGUUUAUUAAACUGAAUGAUGACGGUCUGCAAGCAAGUUUGAACACCAUCUUUACACAAGAUUGCAAAUGGAAAAUUCCCAUAUGAAGAACUAACAUGGAUAUGAAAUCAUUCAUCAUAAAGCGUAAAGAACAACCAAGCCAACCAUAUGCAAAGCAUGAAUGGAAUGCAAUGAAGGUGCAAGAGAACAUUUUUGGAUGAACCCAUUAUGAUGAUGGCAAAAUGCGCCGUGCCCCCCAGCCCCCGCGGUGAGAUCCCGCCGCUCGCUGCCGCCAGACCCUAUUAGGCCUCCACCGGCAGGUCCACCCACGGUCCCGCGCGACGUGGCAGCCUCUUGGCUCUCGGCGCUCGCGGCACGCCAGUGCUGGCGCAGCCCCACCAGGCGACUACCCUCCCCCCAUAAGGCCUCGGCCCCUCCCCAGCGCCGCCCCCCAACACCAGGACUGCCUGCUGCCCCCCACCGUGAGGUAAUCGAAAUCGACUGCUCAAUCUCUCAAUCUGUUGAUAUGAUGCACACGGUUGCAAAAAUAGAUGUGUCAAAAUAGAUGUUUUGCCAAUUGCUAUAGAUGCAUACGGUUGACAUGAAGUCAAAAAUGACAUUUGGUUCCUUGUAGGCAGUCAAAAAUGAAGAAGUCAAAAAAUAUUGAUCUGAAAUCAAUGUGGGAAAGGGCUAUGAAGACACGCAGGUAGAUUCCCUUGUGAACUUUUUAUGUCGUUCGUCUAAAUAAUUUUUUGCAAUGGGCAUACCCUACUCUGAAAUCCUGGGUCCGCCACUGAUGAUGAUGGUCUAAAAAUAAACCAAGCCUAGAUUAAUUAGCCACAACUGAAAUUAAGCAAAGGUUAAUGUCAUUGACCCUAGCUCUAUCCUAGCUUUUACCAAAGUUCCGGCACAUAUAGUGGUUGGGCCCACUCUCUCUGCUUCCCUCUCUGCUGCAUGCACGCACACGAGCAACGGGAGGCCCGACGAAGCCCAGAAGGGUUCGGCCGAACCAGUAUGAGCGCCGCUCCCUCCCAGCCUUCGCGCAGAUGCUCCUCCAACGUUCCUUGACCCCUCCCUCAGCGUCCCGUUGGGUUUAACAUUGCAGGAGAGGAGUCCCUUUUUUAAAAUCUCAACCACCUCCUCUCCCCAUUCACUCCACUCUCAUCUCCAUCAAACUCACCAAGAUCCGCACCGGAAAUCCCUGCUUACCACCAUGGCUGGCAAAGCCCUCAUCCCUUUCACCAACUUGGGCUUGACCACUGAUCUCGAUGGGGAAAUCACUCUGGCAAAUAUGCGUGUAACACUGCCCCCUUUGCCGAGGGUUAAAGCCAAAACACUCAGCAAAGUGGAUAGUACCCCCCUUUUUACCCGUUUUGUCAUGUAUAACGGACCCCUCUCAAUUCACAAUAGACAUCAUCAUAGGCAUUUAUAAUAAACAAUCACAGGCAUAAUUCACAAUCACCAUUACAAGCAUUAUUCAUAAAUAUCACAGACAUAAUCCAAAGUAAGCAUGAAACAAGCCAUAAAUCCAAGUUCAAGUCACAACUAAGUUUCAUCCAAGUUCAAGUCACAAAUGCAAUGUCUAAAUCCAUGGAGGCCAAGGAGACCACUGCGACAAAUCUUGGUCUUCAUUAUUCGAAGCCGCCGAUUGAUUCUGCACAUAGGAUAGGACAUUCUGAGCUAACAUCUAAAGUUGUCAAAAUUAAAGUAUUCAAUCUUAAGCACAAUGUGUCAAAUGACUCACAGGAGUAGUUGUGGGUGGCUGAGGCGGAGGGAACAGCAUCGAUGGCGGUGGCAAAGAUUGACCCAUGCUCGAAGCAAAAUUCUGCAUGUACUGGAACAUCUGGUCCAUCCUCAUCCGAUUUUCUUCCUCCAUCCUCUGCCGCUCGGCCUCUAACCUCCGCUGAACCAUCUGCUCCAUCCUCGCCGCCAUCUCCUCUUGUUGCUUCCUUGCUGCUUCCACCUGGGCCUACAAUAUUUCAUUGCAAUGUUACAAUGCAAAGCUAAAGUAUAGCAACCAACGAACAAUGAAUGGAAGAGAAAGAACCUGGAGAGCCUCCAUCUGGAACUGUCCAAUGGUUGGUCGUAGCCGUAUCGCCGGGCUCGAGUCCGUGCUCCUUGCUUGGAUCUGGGAGAGAGUGGCAGUAGAGGCCGUGUUGAUUACGCCGUCGCCAAUCCAAUAUCGGCCAUGCUUCUUGCCUCCUCCCACCCUCAUCACGAUUUCUCCAUCAAUAUCCUCAGAGCUUGAAUCGAAGUCUGGCCCGUGAACCUCCCUUGCCAUCACUGUAUAUUCCUUUGCCGAGUGCCCGAGAUAAAGCACUCGGCAAAUAGAAAACACUCGGCAACUUUACUGUUUCCCGUAGUGUCGCUAUUUUUGCAGGUUCUCGACCAGGCCAGUUCUUUGGGCCAACCUAUCAUUCACGACUUAAACAUACGGUGGCUGUAGAAAUGUUCUAUUCUUUUCAACAAUACCAGCUGGUUCCUCCGUUUUUAUUCCACCAAUACAAGCACCACCUUGUAACAUUUCCUAUGUUUUUUUUUCCUUUCGUCUGUUUUCUACAUGCGUUGCUCUUUCAUGCAUUUUUUUCCAUUCCUGUAUUCCAAAUAGGUCUACAUGAACACAAAAUGAACUAGGGGACAGAAAAAGCCAGUGAAGCCAAUUUUGAGCUUCACCAGCUACUUGCUACAUAAAGUGUGCUAUAGUGACGUGUUUUAGCAAAACAUGUUAUCAAUGACUUGACAUUGGUGACGUGUUAAAACGCGUUAUCUCAAUGGCAAAUCAUUGGUGACGUGUUUUAAAAAAACAUGUCACCGUGAGAGUCAUUGGUGAAGGGUAAUUAUAAUGCGUCACUAAUGUUGUAGCAUUAGUUAUGAUAAUUUAGUAACGCAAAAAUCUACCAUCAGUAUUGAGCUUUAGAGCCAUCGCUAAUGUGGGUUUCUUACAUAGUGAUGCAAGCUCUACAAGGUGCUGUUGCUGCCAUUUUAAAGCAUCCCAUGACUACAUGUUAAUAACAUAGUUUACCAUAUAUCAUAAAAAUAUUAGUUACAAUAAGCACAUACGCAUGUGGAAGAGUCCGAAUGCACCGGUUGAGGACUAAACACAUUGAAUUACUAGAACCAAAUGUGUGUUUAGAACAAAGACAGGGGUCAAGGUUUGGGUAACCGCAUUAAAAACAUUGGAUUUUACUGUACAUGAACACUUAGUUACCAUUACCAUGCCUUGAGCACCUAGUUACAACAAACAUUAAUUUAGCCACUUUAGAGCUUCCAGAAUCGCUAUAAAUAAUAUACCUACGCCGUACCAUGAAAACAUCAAGAAGAGAGACGGAUACAUGGACCACCAUCAAGCGAGUAGUGACAGCACGCACAAGAAUACCCGGAACCUGUUAGCUUGUCUGUAGUGAUCUGUUUUCUUCCCCAUAAAAUCCAUGAGUAUUGCCACAAAUAAUGAAAGAGGCUGACCAAGCUAGCAAGGAGGUAGAGCAAACGUGAUACACGGCCUGCCAAGAUUGCCCUGGAUACGCCAAUAAGAGCGACAGAUACAUGGAUCACACCAAUAUGGUGAAACGUAUAUUCAUCACACAAGCAAAGCUGGUCAGUUUAUCCAUGGUCAAAUUGUGGUCUUUGUUUUCACUUGAGAGCUAAUUGAGGCACUAUAAUAUGGGCAGGCCUAUCUUCAACAGACAUGACAGCUACAGGGAACUUGACAUAAUUUGCUGGGCCGCCUGUGCACAAUUAUUUGUUUUAUUGUCCUUGCAUAGAAUGCUAAAAUACUCUUUACAAAAUGUUGGAUCUAAUAUUUGAAAUAUAGAGUAGUAAUCAUAUAUUGAUCAACAACUUGAAAUUAUCUGUACAUUCUCGGUGAAGCUGUUGAACUAAUUUUUGCAAAUUAUUAAUUCAUCUCAUUACGUAAAGAAAAAAGUAAGUGGAUAAGAUAUUUCGUGGACCACAUCACUGCAAACAUGUCAUGGAGAGACAGACCAAGGAGGCAGGACGUGAUACACGACUUACCCUAGGUUGCCGUGGAACCGCCAAGAAGAGAUACAGAUACAUGGACCACACCAUCUUGGGAGUAGUGACAGCAUAUAUGCAGAAGAAUACCCCGUGCCUAUUUGCAUGCAUGUCUCAAGUGAUCUGUUUUCUUCAGAAAAUACAUGAGCAUUGCCAGAAAGAAUGGCAAGAGACAAACAUGUCAUAGAGACUUGCAUGUCUUGCCUUGGAUACGCCAAGAAGAGGGACACAUACAUGGAUAACACAAAUCUAGUGACACGUAUAUUCAUCACAAAGGCAAAUCUGAUAAUUUUAUCCAUGGAGCAGACCAAGGAGAAAUUGAUGACGGACAUGUGAUCUCUGUAUUCAGUUGAAAGCUAAUUGAGCUACACUAAUAUGAGCAGGACUAUAUUCAAGAGACUUGUUGAGAGCUACAGGGAACUUGUAAUAAUUUGCUGGGCGGCCUGCGCACAAUGAUUUGUUAUACAUAGUUGAAAUAUUUCAAGAAUUUAUCAACCUCAUACUCUGAAACCCUUGGUGCAAUGUACUCUGCUUUCCGAGGUAGACUGUUCACGUAAAAUGAGGUCAUGCGUAAGACGGAAUCGGAUUGGAUUCACAGGGAAUCAGAUUUGGAUAGCACCUUUUAGCAGGUUUUUAGUCAAAUGCAAAUUCGGAUCCACAUGUGGUUGAAUGCGAGUUCAAAAUUCUACUUGGAUAUCCAUUUAAUUUAGGUGAUAGCAAUUAGCACAAAAUGUUGGAUGAACAAAAUCAUAGUUAGACAUACAAUUACAUGUAUGGUUAAAGUAUAAUACAAUACACCAAGAUUAUUCCUUGAAAAUAUUUCUUAAAAAUAUUAUAAUAAAUGAAUAAAUAUAAUUGUGGCCACCAACAAAUAGUCGGUGGUCGCUAAGUUGGAGCCAUUUCUGGUUACUAAUGCGGCCUUCUCCUCGACCAGCGACGACAGCUGAGCUUGUUCCUUCUGACACUAAAUCAUCAGAGUCUUCCCUCCACUACUAUAGAAUGCACCUUUAGCACCAAUUGGGAAAUCCCCUUCAGUAUUGGAUGCUGCAACCAGUGCUAUAUAUCAAAAUGGAGACUAAAAGCCUCGGUCUUGGGUACCGGUUGCAUAACGCAUUACUAAAGGAGGCAAAAGAGAAAUGUAACAAAAAAAAUAUUUUGAAUUCCAAGAAUGUUUCACUAUUCAAGAUGACUAGCUGAGAGUCAACAGACAAGAUACUAGGAAUGUGGGUGCUUGAAUGCAUUUGUACAGAGGUCAUACUAUUUACAAACUCUUCUAUGUUUCCAUAUGACUACCUACUUCAAUGUCACGCGAGCCAUUCAGCUGGACACAUGGCACACUAGCUUGCAUGUCGAAUCCAUGAUUAAUUAUUUCCACUUGUGAUCUCUUACCAGUAUUUGUCCAGACUAGAAACGUGCAACACAUUUUUAGGAUAUGGACACGCAUAUAUUUGGACUAGUAUACAGGUCACCUUUGGAUGCGUACAAGGAUGACCGGGAGGGACUAGAAAUGGUCUAGUUUUGAUUGGACUACAAAACUUUUUGUACAGUGAAUAGAGAAUAUAUAUUAUUGUUGGAAUACGAGGUAGGCUACACUAUCGCAAUUCUGAUAUUCUACCGCGUAUAACCAAGAAGAACUGUCGUAUAAGGAUCACGGGAUUACCACUCGACGCACUACUGGUGCGGAAGAUGUAGAUAUGCGUCGAUGCAGUGAAGACGAUCACGUAGUCGUAUGUAGUCGAUCAACGUAGUCGUACAUAGUCGAUCACGUCCAGCAGCUCCUCAGCAGCUCGUCCACGUGCAGCAAGAUCGCCUCCGGUACCGCGGCUCGUCGUUGGCUUGUCGUGGCUCGUCGACGGCUCGUCGGCGGCUCGUCCAAGUGCUGCAGGCGCAACACCUCCAAGGUAUCCACACGUGCAGGGAGGAAGCGUCGCAAGCCGGACUGCUAGAUCCACGAGUUGCAACAGGCGAGGGCGUGGGAGGCGCGGCAGGUGUGUUUCGCCAAAAAGGUGUAAACCCUAGGGCGCCCCCACCCCUCUAUUUAUAGAGGUUCCUGACGGGCCUCUGGAUCCGAGGCCCAUUAGUACUUCUAAACCUAAUCCAACUCGGAUCAGAUCCGAAUUGGGCUUCCAGCCCCUUAAGUGUGUGACCCUAUAAGUUCGGAUACGUAUAGACAUGGCCCGAGUACUCCUACUCGGCCCAAUAGUCGGUAGCGGCCUCUAGCAAGACGUGCCAACUCCUAUACGCACACGAAGAUCAUAUCAGACGAACCAUCACAACAUAAUAUACAUGCUAUUCCCUUUGCCUCACGAUAUUUGGUCUAGCUUCAAGCCGACCGCUCUUUCUCAGUCCUGUGAUUCGGAAUCCCUUUGUAGGUUAACUCUUAACCGUACGUAGCAUGGCCAUGCAUUUUCGGAUCUGAUCACUCGAGGGGCCCAGAGAUAUCACUCUCAAUCAGAGAGGGGCAAAUCCCAUCUUGAUUGACCAUGUCUCAUAGCAUGCUUCUUGACAAACCUAAAAACUACCUUUAUAACUUCCCUGUUACGGCGUAGUGUUUGAUAGCUCCUAAGUAGGUCGAUCCACAUCUAGAAUACAUGCGACAAUUUCAGGUCUAAGGACAAAGCGUAUAUGUUGUUUAAAGAGAGAACUACUUCUCGUGUUGGGUCAGUCCCAGCACAUGUCUCCACAUGUGUCCACAUUAUUAGUUCAACAUCUCCAUGUCCAUGACUUGUGAAACAUAGUCAUCAACUAAUACAUGUGCUAGUCUAAUAUUCAUGUGUGUCCUCACAUGAACUCCGACUAGGGACAACUUUAGAAUAACCAUACAAGUAAAGAGUUUCACAUACAAUUCACAUAAUUGCAAAUCAAUUCAAGUAGCCUUCAAUGGAUAUUCAAUGAACACAACAUACAAAUCAUGGAUACAAAUGGAAUAUCAUCAUCUCUAUGAUUGCCUCUAGGGCAUACCUCCAACAGUCUCCCACUUGCACUAGAGUCAAUCUAGAAGGUACCUAAUACCCAUAGCUCUUACAUGCGCAUCAUGCUUAGCCUGCGGGAGUGGUUUUGUCAACGGAUCAGAAAUGUUCAGAUCCGUGUGUAUUUUGCAUAUCUUGAUCUCACCCCGGUUAACGAAGUCUCGAAUGAGAUGAAAUCGCCGCAUUACAUGUUUGUUCUUCUGGUGGUUCCUUGGCUCCUUUGCUUGCGCAAUUGCCCCAUUGUUAUCACAGUAGAGAUUCAAUGGGCUGGACCCAUUCGGGAACACACCAAGCUCAAUGAGGAAAUUCCUUAUCCAAACACCUUCCUUCGCGGCUUCCGAAGCCGCGAUGUACUCGGCUUCUGUCGUAGAAUCGGCCACCGUCUCCUGCUUGGAACUCUUCCAACUAACAGCACCACCAUUUAGCGUGAACACAAAUCCUGUUUGUGACUUUGAAUCAUCUCUGUCGGUUUGGAAACUAGCAUCGGUGUAACCUGUUACAACGAGCUCCUCCUCACCUCCAUAGACGAGGAAUAUAUCUUUAGUCCUUCUCAAGUACUUAAGAAUGUUUUUCACCGCUGUUCAGUGACUCUCACCUGGAUCAGAUUGGUGUCUGCUUGUCAUACUUAGCACAUAUGAAACAUCUGGGCGAGUACUUAUCAUUGCAUACAUGAUAGAUCCAAUAGCCGAGGCAUAUGACACUCUACUCAUGUGAUCCCGCUCAUCAGCAGUCGAAGGACACUGAGUCUUGCUGAGAUGUAUGCCAUGUGACAUAGGCAAGAACCCUUCCAUGCUGAACCGCUUCAACACUUUGUCAAUGUAAGUAUCUUGGCUUAAACCUAUAAGCCUUCUCGAUCUAUCUCUAUAGAUCUUAAUGCCCAGAAUAUAUGCCGCUUCCCCUAAGUCCUUCAUCGAAAAACUAUUUUUCAGUGAAGUCUUUAUGGACUCAAGCAUAGGAAUGUUAUUUCCAAUCAGUAAUAUGUCAUCCACAUAUAAGAUUAGAAAUACUACAGAGCUCCCACUAACCUUCUUGUAAACACAAGACUCUUCUUCGUUCUUGGUGAAGUCAAACCCUUUGACCACUUCAUCAAAACGAAUGUUCCAACUCCUAGAUGCUUGCUUCAAUCAAUAAAUGGAUCUCUGAAGCUUGCAUACCUUUCCAGCAUUUUUCGGAUCGACAAAACCCUUGGACUGUAUCAUAUACACGUCCUCAGUUAGGUUUCCAUUCAGGAAAGCUGUCUUGACAUCCAUCUGCCAUAUCUCAUAAUCGAAAUAUGCAGCCAAACUUGAUUGUCUCCCAUGGACUCUAUUUCGGAUUGCAUGGCAUUCUGCCAUUUUUCGGAGUCUGGGUCCAUCAUUGCUUCUGCAUAUGUCACAGGCUCAUCAUUGUCCAACAAUAAUAUUUCCUGCAUUUCGCGGAGCCUUGCCGACCUUCGUGGUUGUGGCGGUGCUUCUCUUGCCAUGGGUAUCUCAACUUGUUCUGCUACGUUAGCAUCACUCAUUGAUUCUUGCCCGAUCGGCUCAUCUUGAACUUCUUCAAGAUGCACUGUCUUUCCACUCUUUUCUCCUUUGAGAAACUCUUUCUCUAGGAAAACCCCGUUCCGAGCGACAAACACUUUGCCUUCUGAUCAGUUGUAAAAAUAAUAUCCCAAAGUUUCCUUUGGAUAUCCCACGAAAAUGCACUUAUCCGACUUGGGUGCGAUCUUGUCCGACUGAAGUCGCUUGACAAACACAUCACAUCCCCAAAUCUUUAGAAAAGACAAACUAGGAACCUUUCCAGUCCAUAUCUCAUAUGGUGUCUUAACUACGGAUUUAGAUGGUACCCUAUUAAGUGUGAAAGCUGCUGUUUCUAGAGCGUAUCCCCAAAAUGACAACGGUAGGUCCGACUGGCUCAUCAUUGAUCGAACCAUGUCUAACAAAGAUCGAUUACGUCGCUCGGACACACCGUUUCUCUGAGGUGAUCCAGGCGGCGUAAGUUGUGGAACAAUUCCGCAACUCUUUAGAUGAUUGCUAAACUUGUGGCUCAAAUACUCGCCUCCACGAUCAGAUUGUAAGGCCUUAAUUUUCUUGACACGCUAAUUUUCAACUUCAUUCUGAAAAUCCUUGAACUUUUCAAAGGUUUCAGACUUGUGCCUCAUCAAGUAGACAUAGCCAUAUCUACUAAAAUCAUCAGUGAAAGAUAUGAAGUAUUGGAAUCCUCCUCUAGCCGUCGUGCUCAUUGGUCCGCAUACAUCACUAUGUACGAGUUCCAACAAGUCUACUGCUCUCUCAGGAAAUCCUGUGAAAGACGUCUUGGUCAUCUUGCCUAGCAAGCAAGCCUCACAUGUCUCGUAUGAUUCAAAAUCAAACGAAGUUAGAAGUCCAUCAGAAUGGAGCUUCUUCAUGCGUUUUUCACUUAUAUGACCCAAACGACAAUGCCACAAGUAGGUAGGACUCAAAUCAUUAGGCCGAGGCCUUUUAGCACUUACAUUACAGACAGGUGAACCAUCAAGAUUUAAAACAAAUAAUCCAUUCACAAUGGGUGCAAAAGCCAUAAACAUAUUAUUCUUAGAGAUCACACAACCAUUGUUUUCACUCGCAAAUGAAUAACCAUCCUUCAUCAAGCAUGAAGGAGACAAAAUGUUUCGACUUAAACUAGGAACAAAAUAACAAUUAUUCAACUCCAUAAUAAAUGCUGACGGGAGGUGGAGUUGCAUCGUCCCGACGGUCAACGCAGCAACUCUUGCAUUAUUGCCCACGCGGAAAUCAACUUCUCCUCUUUCCACGCUUCUACUUCUUAUCAUUCCCUGCAUCGAAUUGCAAAUAUGAGCAACCGAUCCGGUAUCAAAUACCCAAGAAUUAAUAAUUGUAUCAGCGAGAAAUAUGUUGUCUAUGACAUUAACAACAAGCGUACCUGAGGUAGAAGUACUCUUACUUCCUCCAUUCUUCAACGAAGCUAGGUACUGCUUGCAGUUUCUCUUCCAGUGACCAAGUUCAUGACAGUAAAAGCACUCUUUGUCUGGAGCAGGUCCAGGUCCAGCUUUAACCUUGGGCGCUCGCUGGGUUUGGCUUGGAAAUUCCAGCCUUGCCCUUCUUCUUCCAAGAAUUGCCCUUCUUCUUAAAGCUAGGCUUGUUCUGUAUAGCCAUCACAUGGCUAGUACAAGCGCUUUUCUUGAUGUCUACCUCUGCUGUCUUGAGCAUACCACACAGUUCAUUCAAACCCUUCUCCGUCCCAUGCAUAUGGUAGUUCGAGAUGAAGUUCCCAUAGCUAGGCGGAAGAGAUGAAAGAAUGAAGUCAGUGGCCAACUCUUUGCCCAUUGGGAAGCCCAGCUUCUCCAAUCGCUGAGUGUAACCAACCAUGUUGAUUACAUGUGGUCCUACUGCUGCGUCUUCUGCUAGCUUGCACUCCAGAAAAGCUUUGGACACAUUGAACCUUUCAGUCCUAGCCUGUGUCUGGAACAUGUCCUUGAGCGCCACGAUCAUAUCGUGUGCCUCAUGAUUUGUUUCGAACUGCAUCUGCAGCUCGGGUUCCAUGCAAGCAAGCAUAAGGCAGCUUACCUCAAGAUUAGCAUCAAAUGCCUUCUUGUAAGCAGCCUUAACGGCAGCAGAUGCAUCAUCAGCAGGUACUGGUGGUAGUGGGGUAUCUAGAACAUCUUCCUUUUUAUCGGCCCUGAGAACAAUUCUCAGGUUACGGAUCCAAUCCGAGUAGUUUGUUCCAUUCAACUUGUCCUUCUCAAGGACCGAGCGCAAAGCAAACGAUGUGGUGGUGUUGCUAGGUGCCAUUUAAUCUACAACAAAAGUAAUGCAAAAUACACUAAGACAAACGUAUCCAUGAUAGAGCAAAUUACAUUAAACUAUUUUAACAGAAUCUACUCCCACUAAAAUCAAUAUCCCUCUAUUGAAACUUAGUGAUUCAGGAUCCACAACUAACAAGUCUACUAGUGAGCUUUAGCAUCACCGCUAGCAAACGAGGUAGAUCGGUAAGCAACUUUUGCUAAUCAUAUCACAUAUGACUCCUGUUGUUGGGUGACAUCUCCAUGUCUCGGCGCCCAACCAUUAUGCCCCAAGGUCCUUAACCGUUAAGAUGACCUCGUUAAGCAAACCAACCCUUAUGCGUGUAAGUGUCCGACACAAACCCGUCUAGUCAAGGAAAACUAGUGGCACCCUAAUUUCAUAGACCCACCACUAAUUGUACAAGACAUGGGACGGUGCAAGUUUUAGUUGGGAGGGCAUACUAACUUAAAUUUUUUGUGAGGGAUCGUUCUACUUCUAACAUCACAGCAUGCAGAAAGUAAAACAUAAACAGAAUAGCAUUCACACAGCUGUGACACAGUAUGGCCCGUUUUUAUAUGGUGAUCUCCAUCUCCAUAGAACCUGUUCACCAUGGUGAUCUCCAUCUCCAUGUUCCAUGUGCGCCAUCCUCCUGGUGAGGAGUCCUCCAAGAACUAGAACAUGCUAUUACACCUAAUAGCUAGUAAAGAAUCUAGUAAUGAAGAUUACAUAGUUGCUUGGAUCAUCACAGAUUGGUACGCAGACCAUUAAAUACAAUAAAGUGACAACACAUAUGGCUCCUGCCGUGUUGCCGUACGCGCGACACGCAGGUCACGAAUGAGUUACACACAUGCAUCACAUACACAAGGGGGCCAUACUGAUCACAAGAUACAUACAUACAUCCUGCAAAACAGAGUUAGGCGUCCUAACGUUCCAAACUUCGAAGGCCCGAAACUCCAUCUUCCAAGCCGAAUUUGGGAAAUCUAAUUUUGCCGAAAACGGCAAAGCGGUUGAAUUUCAUGUGUAACUUUUUCUGUAGAUCAAUUUUCAUAUAAAAUUCGCCCCGAUCCGAGAUCGUACCGAAAAGUUACGGCUGAUUUACCGAAGCAUACGCAUACGGCAAAAAUUCCGACCCCGGCAGUAGAUCCCAUCUACUAUUGCACAUCUAAUGCGCCUGGCGUAUGAUCCUGGAUUUCGAUUCGACCAAUCAUAUUGAUCUUCGCUCACUGCAACUGGAAUUACGUGUAUCACUUAACUCGUCGGCGGCUCGUCGGCGGCUCAUCCAAGUGCUGCAGGCCCAACACCUCCAAGGUAUCCACACGUGCAGGGAGGAAGCGUCGCAAACCGGACUGCUAGAUCCGCGAGUUGCAAUAGGCGAGGGCGUGGGAGGCGCCGCAGGUGUGUUUCGCCAAAAAGAUGUAAACCCUAGGGCGCCCCCACCCCUCUAUUUAUAGAGGUUCCUGACGGGCCUCUGGAUCCGAGGCCCAUUAGUACUUCUAAACCUAAUCCAACUCGGAUCAGAUCCGAAUUGGGCUUCCAGCCCCUUAAGUGUGUGACCCUAUGGGUUCGGAUACGUAUAGACAUGGCCCGAGUACUCCUACUCGGCCCAAUAGUCGGUAGCGGCCUCUAGCAAGACGUGCCAACUCCUAUACACACACGAAGAUCAUAUCAGAUGAACCAUCACAACAUAAUAUACAUGCUAUUCCCUUUGCCUCACGAUAUUUGGUCUAGCUUCAAGCCGACCGCUCUUUCUCAAUCCUGUGAUUCGGAAUCCCUUUGUAGGUUAACUCUUAACCGUACGUAGCAUGGCCAUGCAUUUUCGGAUCCGAUCACUCGAGGGGCCCAGAGAUAUCACUCUCAAUCAGAGAGGGGCAAAUCCCAUCUUGAUUGACCAUGUCUCAUAGCAUGCUUCUUGACAAACCCGAAAACUACCUUUAUAACUACCCUGUUACGGCGUAGCAUUUGAUAGCCCCUAAGUAGGUCGAUCCACAUCUAGAAUACAUGCGACAAUCUCAGGUCUAAGGACAAAGCGUAUAUGUUGUUUAAAGAGAGAACUACUUCUCGUGUUGGGUCAGUCCCAGCACAUGUCUCCACAUGUGUCCACAUUAUUAGUUCAACAUCUCCAUGUCCAUGACUUGUGAAACAUAGUCAUCAACUAAUACAUGUGCUAGUCUAAUAUUCAUGUGUGUCCUCACAUGAACUCCGACUAGGGACAACUUUAGAAUAACCAUACAAGUAAAGAGUUUCACAUACAAUUCACAUAAUUGCAAAUCAAUUCAAGUAGCCUUCAAUGGAUAUUCAAUGAACACAACAUACAAAUCAUGGAUACAAAUGGAAUAUCAUCAUCUCUAUGAUUGCCUCUAGGGCAUACCUCCAACAAUUAUUUCAUGUAAAUUUUUGACAAUUUUUUAAAAUUGUUUGAUAUUUUUUAAAUUUUUUUUAAAAUAACUUUGCCGAGUGUCCUAUUGUAGACACUCGGCAAAGCAGCCUUCACCGAGUGUUACCCCUGGGACACUCGGCGAAUUAAUGCCCGGCCGCUCAAGAAUAUGUGCCCGGCCCCCUCACUCUCCCGGCCCCCCUCACUCUCACUCCCCUCACUCCCUCCUCUCUCCCUCCUCUCUCCCUCUCGCCGCCGCCCGAAACCCCCGCCGCCGCCCGCCGCCCGGCAUGCCGCCCAGCGCCCCCCGCCGCCGCCCGGCGCUCCCGAAUCCGCCGCCGCCCGCCCGGCGCCCGGCCCCCGGAUCCGCCGCCGCCGGCCGCCCGGCGCCCCCGGAUUCGCCGCCGCCCGCCCGGCCCCCGGCCCCCGGAUCAGCCGCCGCCCGCCGCCCGGCGCACGGCGCCCCCGGAUCCGCCGCCGCCUGCCCGGCGCCCGGCCCCUGGCCCCCUGAUCCGCCGCCGCCCGCCCGGAUCCGCCGCCGCCCGCCCGGCGCCCGGCCCCCGGCCCCCGGAUCCACCGCCGCCCCCCCGGCCCCCGGAUCCGCCGCCCGCCCGUCCCCUCCACCGGAUCCGCCGGCGCCGGGGCCUGAAGAGAAGAGAAGAGGAGAGGAUGGUGGCGGCGGCGGCCGCGGCGGCGGAGCAGGUGGCAGAGCAUGCAUGAUUUUUUUUUAUUUUUUCAAUAAUUGUUCGCCAAGUGUUUUCUGGGCACUCGGCAAAGUCUUUGCCGAGUGCCCGACACAAAACACUCGGCGAACCAGUGUUUGCCGUCAAGAUUUUUGCCGUGUGUCGUUUGCCGAGUGUUACACUCGGCAAACGCUUUGUCGAGUGUUUUUGGGGUUUCGCGGAGUGACCCUGGCACUCGGCAUCACGCAUGUUUCCCUUAGUGAACUUGAAAUUAUCUGUACAUUCUCGGUGAAGCUGUUGAACUAAUUUUUGCAAAUUAUUAAUUCAUCUCAUUACGCAAAGAAAAAAGUAAGUGGAUAAGAUAUUUCGUGGACCACAUCACUGCAAACAUGUCAUGGAGAGACAGACCAAGGAGGCAGGACGUGAUACACGACUUACCCUAGGUUGCCGUGGAACCGCCAAGAAGAGAUACAGAUACAUGGACCACACCAUCUUGGGAGUAGUGACAGCAUAUAUGCAGAAGAAUACCCCGUGCCUAUUUGCAUGCAUGUCUCAAGUGAUCUGUUUUCUUCAGAAAAUACAUGAGCAUUGCCAGAAAGAAUGGCAAGAGACAAACAUGUCAUAGAGACUUGCAUGUCUUGCCUUGGAUACGCCAAGAAGAGGGACACAUACAUGGAUAACACAAAUCUAGUGACACGUAUAUUCAUCACAAAGGCAAAUCUGAUAAUUUUAUCCAUGGAGCAGACCAAGGAGAAAUUGAUGACGGACAUGUGAUCUCUGUAUUCAGUUGAAAGCUAAUUGAGCUACACUAAUAUGAGCAGGACUAUAUUCAAGAGACUUGUUGAGAGCUACAGGGAACUUGUAAUAAUUUGCUGGGCGGCCUGCGCACAAUGAUUUGUUAUACAUAGUUGAAAUAUUUCAAGAAUUUAUCAACCUCAUACUCUGAAACCCUUGGUGCAAUGUACUCUGCUUUCCGAGGUAGACUGUUCACGUAAAAUGAGGUCAUGCGUAAGACGGAAUCGGAUUGGAUUCACAGGGAAUCAGAUUUGGAUAGCACCUUUUAGCAGGUUUUUAGUCAAAUGCAAAUUCGGAUCCACAUGUGGUUGAAUGCGAGUUCAAAAUUCUACUUGGAUAUCCAUUUAAUUUAGGUGAUAGCAAUUAGCACAAAAUGUUGGAUGAACAAAAUCAUAGUUAGACAUACAAUUACAUGUAUGGUUAAAGUAUAAUACAAUACACCAAGAUUAUUCCUUGAAAAUAUUUCUUAAAAAUAUUAUAAUAAAUGAAUAAAUAUAAUUGUGGCCACCAACAAAUAGUCGGUGGUCGCUAAGUUGGAGCCAUUUCUGGUUACUAAUGCGGCCUUCUCCUCGACCAGCGACGACAGCUGAGCUUGUUCCUUCUGACACUAAAUCAUCAGAGUCUUCCCUCCACUACUAUAGAAUGCACCUUUAGCACCAAUUGGGAAAUCCCCUUCAGUAUUGGAUGCUGCAACCAGUGCUAUAUAUCAAAAUGGAGACUAAAAGCCUCGGUCUUGGGUACCGGUUGCAUAACGCAUUACUAAAGGAGGCAAAAGAGAAAUGUAACAAAAAAAAUAUUUUGAAUUCCAAGAAUGUUUCACUAUUCAAGAUGACUAGCUGAGAGUCAACAGACAAGAUACUAGGAAUGUGGGUGCUUGAAUGCAUUUGUACAGAGGUCAUACUAUUUACAAACUCUUCUAUGUUUCCAUAUGACUACCUACUUCAAUGUCACGCGAGCCAUUCAGCUGGACACAUGGCACACUAGCUUGCAUGUCGAAUCCAUGAUUAAUUAUUUGCACUUGUGAUCUCUUACCAGUAUUUGUCCAGACUAGAAACGUGCAACACAUUUUUAGGAUAUGGACACGCAUAUAUUUGGACUAGUAUACAGGUCACCUUUGGAUGCGUACAAGGAUGACCGGGAGGGACUAAUGGAUACAAGGAAGGGACCAUCAGGAUUAAUAUUGACAUAUGCCACAUGACAAUCUUCAUUGUCAUGCAAUCCCUAUCAACAAUCAUGGAAUCCCUAGUGUACUAAUCCCUGGAGGGUUGUGUGGAAAUUUAUUUUACCUUGCGGUGAAAAUCUCAUGAGCAGUCAUUAGUUAAGCUGACUAGCUGAGAUAUAAUAGACAAGCUAGUAAGAUUGGGAGCAUCAAUGCAUCCAUACAGGGUCACAAUAUCCUUUCCAUUCACUUUUAUAUAUAACCCUACGAAUACAAGUCCAACGAAAUGCGGGCCUUUCGAUCAAGAUAAAUUAAAUGGCCCACUUGUAUUUCUAAUCCAGGAUUAACUAUGCCCUCUGUUCAUCUCUUGCAAGCACGUGCAACACAUUUUCACGAUAUGGACAUGCAUGGAGGUUAUUAUACUGUUUGGACAAACUCUGAUGUGCCAUGACCUAAAUGCUUAGGGCCUGUUUGGUUUGAGUUGCUUAUUAUAAGCAACUUAAAGUUGCUUAAAGUUGCUUAUUUGAAGUUGCUUAUUUUUAGUCUAAACUGUUUGGAUACCCUUGCUUAUGAGCAUUGAAUGAGUUGGACAUUGUCAAAUUUGCCCCAUGUGUUGCUACCCCUCCAAUUUGCCUCCCCACCCUUCUUCUUCCUGCACACGUCCGAUCCCGGGGGCCGACGGCGGGCAGGGAGCAGCAGCAGCUGGCCAGGGCGGCGGUGGGGCGGGAGCGGCGGCGCACACCAGCACGCGCUCGCACGCCAGGUGCUAGGGCGCGGCGAGGCAGUCGUCGUAGCCCACCGGGAGCGGGUGCUCGGGCGCGAGGCGGUACUCGACGGAGAUGCCGAGCGUCGGGCGCGCGGCGGCGAGCGCGUUGAGGAAGCGAUGGUAGUGCGGCGACGUCGCGGACUCCGCCACGAAGCCGCCGCCGUGGACGUACACCACCACGGGCAGCUUCGUCUUGCCGUCGGCGGCCGCGGCCGCGGCCUGGGGUGGCAGGUAGAGGCGGACGGAGCAGGAGCCGAGGUCGACGUCCCUGGAGUCGACGCCCGUGGCGGCGUCCAGGCUAGGCCCGACCGGCGGCGGCACGAGCGGGCGCUCGAUGCGGCCGCUCUUGUAAAUCCGACGGGUCUGUGCGGAGGCGGGCGGCGGGCGGGAGCGGCGGGUGGGAGCGGCGGCAGGUGGUGCGGAGGCCGGCGGCGGCGGGUGGCGCGGAGGAAGGGGAGCUGGUGAGUGGUGACAGGGGAGGGGGGGAGAGAGAGGGGGGGGUAGGGUGCAUUGAAUGAGGGCAGGAGGUGUAAAGUGCACCUUUUAGUCCCCAUGAGCAACCAUAAGCAGCCCAAGAGUUGCUUAUUUGCUUAUAAUAAGCAACCUCAUAAGCAAGAGUGAUUGGUUUCAUAAGCAACUUAUUUGCUUAUUUUAAGUUGCUUAUGCAUAAGCAUGUGAAACCAAGCAGGUCCUUAACCUAUGGUUGUGGCACCACACAGUACAUAGUAUUUAAUAAUGCUAUUCGUUUGGUAUGUGCACAAGGGCACGCAUGAAAUGUCUGGCCCACGGUAAACAAGUACGGACGCUGCAAAUAAUCUACUCUGCUCGUCCAGUCCCUAGCCUAUAAAUAGAUGCCAUGCUAGCUCUUGUUGUGCUCACAAUUAAUCCUGACUACACACGAGCUUCUCUCCCUGGCCAAGACACAAUCAUAGUAUGAUGAAGAACAUGGCACUAGCCGGCAAUGGUAUGAAGAACUUAAUCCUCGCUGUUCUCUUACUGUGUCUAGUUAUAGGGCAGAUACAAGUGGAAGCUAAGAGCUGCUGCCCAUCCAUUACUGCAAGAAAUAUCUACAAUGCCUGCCGUAUCACGGGUACAUCCCGUCCAACGUGUGCAAAACUGUCAGGCUGCAAAAUUAUCAGCGGGGACAAAUGCAAGCCCCCUAACGACCACCUCACCCUUGACCCGGACACUGGUAAAUAAUAAAUUUAUCUCACUUGAUUUCUUCGUGUUUUGAGUCGUUAAUGUAUUUUCCAUCUGAUGAAACGUAUUGGUUUUGCAUUGAAGAGGAAGUUAAUGUGCUUAACUUCUGCAAGUUGGGGUGUGCGUCGUCUGUGUGCAACAACAUCAACGCUGGUAAGCACCUUUUGCUCAGACGGAGAAAACAAUAAUCAUUAAUUAGCGGCAGCUAGAAUCCUAUAAUCUAAUAUAUUUAUAUAUAUAUAUAAUUUUAUCAGCUCUGGGAAAUGAAGAGGCGAACGAUGCCGUUGAGAGUUGCGACCAAGCCUGCUCUAGCUUCUGCAACGUGCACGUUGGCGCUGCCACCGUGGUUGCUUAAGCAAAUGCAUCCAACUGGAUCGUCCUUGUGCUAAAUAAUUGGAUAUCGUAUCCACUUAAAGCUGCCUUGUGUAGUACGUUUUUGUUUGUGUCUCUCUUUAUAUUCCAAUAAGGUCGGUGAUCUUGAUGCCACACACUCAGACGUGUGUUCAUCUCCAGAUACUACUCCAUGCUACCUGCCCUUUGUGUUUUGUUCAAUAACUGGGUAUCAU